rnacentral:lncRNA from 1 species
AACUAUAUAGAAAAGCCAAUAAACAGUAGAAAUAGUUGGUCAAUGAAGGGGUUACUUGAGGCUUGCAGAUGGAGUGAGUAAAAAACGUGCUCUUAACAUAAACCUGCAACCAUGGCACCAGGAUAGCUGAUCAAAACAUUGACAACUACCAAGCAAAUGUCAUCCUGUUUUCUAGAAGAAAAAAAUAUAACAACACCACGAGACAUUCUUCUACAGUUAAUAGAUGAAUGUCAGAAGACCAAAUUUUCACAAGAGUAGAACAUGCUACGGUACUGUGAGAGCGAGUUGAAGAGGCCAAGGCUAGCUCCCCCAUGGUCGGCUAGCCACCGCCGCCGGCCGCUGGCCGUCGUCGGCCACCCACCUCCCCCACCCACCCCAGCCUCCUCCUUCCCUCGUCCCCGCGGCUCCUCCAGUCGGUCUCCGACCUGCUCCUCCCGGCGAUCGGAGUCCUUGCUGGUCCAACUUUGGUUGUUUCCUCGACGUCAGUUCCCUCCACACAGAUCUCUUCGUCCGAAUGGGAGGCCUCUCAGAUCUCUGCUUCGCUCAUGGUUUAGAAUUUGAAAGAGUGGUGGAUCGCUGUUUCAAAUGCUCGGUGAGUCCUACACCUCUCAGCUCCCCCUCUAAUUUCCAUCUGCUCCUCAGCUCUGGCCGAUCUGCCAUUCGUUUGAAUGAAGAUUCAGUUGCUCUGAUUCUCCAAGCCUGUUUGGGGGGAGUUGCAAAGGAUUUCAAUGUUUGCCAUCUCUCGGGUUGGAUGUUCAAAUUCACUGUUUCUUGCAAAAAAAUGGGUCUUAUGGUUUACAAGCUUAAUAACUUCUCCUACAAAUCUUAUUCUCUCUUCUUUGCCCUGUGGCGAGAAGGGGGACCAAAUUGGAGAAAGCAAUACGAUCUGUUUUGCAAAGAACAGGAAGAUGAGUGGUUUUUAAUCGGUGCCAAAGGCAAAAUAAGAAGAGGUCCAGCAGCCUCGGAUAGAAAGAGCUAUGCUGACAUUGUUCGAUCUUCGUCUCGUCAAGCUCCGUAUGUUUUCAAGAGACUAUCCUACCCUUCGGACUACAACAAAAACUUUGAAUCUCAAUUUUUUCGUGGCCCUAAUCCCAACUCGUCCUCCAUGUCCGCCACGGCUCCCAAUCAAGAGUGUGUUCGUCGCUGGAUCAUCAAGGCUCCGCCUGAUUCUUGGGAGCGUUCUCAGUCUUUGAAAACAGUCAUAACUGCCAAGGCGCAUUCCUUGGCUCGCCCACUUUCAAAAUCUCAUCCGCUGCCUCCUCCUGGGCCGACCCGUCCCGGUGGGCGUGAUGGCCUUUGCCGCAGAUGUCUUGGGCCUGGGCACUCAAGGAAGGAGUGCACCAAUUUGGUAAGAUGCCUGAUAUGCUAUAAUUACGGGCAUACCUCCCGGUCCUGUCUCUCCAAAAUCCACGCCAAACGCCGUUACCGGGUGGUUUCCCGUUCGGAAGCUGGAGGGUCGCUGGGGAACGAUUUAUUCCCGAGCACAUCGCCUCCCCUCGUUCCUUCCGUCCCCCCCCUUUCCACUGUGCCUGCUCCAGUCUCCGAAAACCCCACUCCGCCCUCCAUGGCGAAUUGGCCAUGUGAUCCAGUACCGCACCUGCCUCCAGGCUUCUCCAUCCAAGAACCACCCCUCCGCAAUGGAAUUCGCCAUGAGGUCUUCGUCACGGGUUGCUACUCGCUCUACAAUGAAGACUUGGCGAUCAUCAAGCUGCAGCCUCCAGUGAGCGGGGAUGACUUCGGCGAAGUCAAGACUGCACUCAGGUCAUUCUUUCAGGAUGUCCAUCAGGUUCGCAUCUCUGAGAUCCAGCACUCUGCUCUAGGUGACGCUUAUGUCAGAUUCAGAAGUGCAUUAGAUAGAGAAAGGUUCCUAGGUCCAGUUUUUCCUUUGGGUAACUAUGCUAUGAGAGUUAUCAAACAUGAUGAAGCGGAUAAUGCACGUAGCUUUGAUCUUGAUAGAGAAGCUUGGGUUAUGCUAGUUGGUUUCCCAGAGGAUCUUAAGGACUCUGUUAAUAUUGCUAAGGUUGUCUCUGGUUUUGGUAUUUUGGUGCAAUGGCAUGAACCUGAUAAUCUAGCAAGAGUAGUUGCAAAGGUUUACUUGAAUGAUGAUGCUAAAAUCCCAGAAUCUGUUAAAGUUAAUGCUGGCUUACCCCAAAAGGGCAGAUCCUGGACUGUCCCCUGCUACAUUCUGAAAAGACAACAGGUAUCAGAAGUGCAAGAUGAGGAGGCCUUCAUCAACUUUGGACCAUUGCAUCCUCUGCCGGCUCCCCCUCCUCACUGGAUGGGGCCCGUCCCACCUGCUGACCCAAACACCACUCCCAGAGGAUCCAACGUGGGACCUAAUGCUCACCCCUUUGGAAGUGAUUCAGGUAAUAGGUGGCAACAGCAGCUUGCACCAGUCGAUGAUGAAGGUAUCAAUCAGAGGGUUCAGAACUUGGCUGAGAUUGCCAAUGCUACAUCUAAGAUCGUGUCAGAGAAGGGGACAGAGAAUGUCGAGAUUCCUCUUGAUGUUGCUCCUAAUAUCAAGUCAGUGGUCAUUGGCCCCUCCAAGGCGCAAGGCAAUACACAUACAAGUGAUCCACUGAUCCCUGUGAUCUCAUCUCUCAUCAGGAAGGUAAUCUCUUAUAUACACAAGAAUCAUCACUUCCAAAUCUUUAAGAAUGUCUCCAAUCUUGUUGUUGAUCAUAAUACCCUGAUCCCAUCAUACAUAUCGGACACACCAUUGCUCAUUCAUCUAGCUUUCAUCCUGUUUCCACAGCUCGGUGACAAUACCCUGGAAAAGAUAGCUCUUGUAACACCCUAGGUGUUAAGCAUGCACUUAGUCUUAUCAAAGUCAUGCAUAAGCAUUCCCAUCAAGCAUAAGCAUCAUGAGCAUGUCAUUCUUUUCAAAAUAUGAUUUUAUGUGCUUCAUUUCAUGAGUUUUAAAUAUGCUAAAAAUAUGAUGCUUGCUUCUAAAAAUGUGAAAUAUUCAAACUAGGUUGAUUUAUGUGUAAGAAGAAUUAAGAACAUUUUUGUGUAAUUUUUGGAGCUAUAGAAUUUGAGAAAUGGAAUUUAUACAAAAUAUCCAAAAUGAAUUUAUUUAAAAACCUAGAACUAGGUUUUAAUUUGUAAUUCAAAUUCUACUUAGAAUUUGGUUUUGCUUAUUAAAACAAAGUUGUAGAAAUUUUGUUUUGGAACAACUUUACUUUUGGGAGAAAAUGGUGAAAAUGAUUGGAAAAUGGUCAAAAUGAAUUUGGAAGAGCAUUUAAGAAAAGAAAUUCAAAAAAAAGGGAAAAGGGGGCGCUAGUAGGCCGCGGCCUCACUUCUGGCCCGCUGGCCGAAGCCGGCCCGGCCCGCCCGCGCCUUCCCCUUCCCCUUCCCCUUCCCCUUCCCCGCGCUCGCGCCCGCGUCCGCGCGCGGACGGCCUCGCCGUGCCGCCGUGGCGCGCCGGCAGAGCCUGGCCGCCGCGUGGCGGGCAUGCGACGGCGUGGAGAAGCCCUGGUCGGCCACCAGGAGCCCCCGGUCGCGUCCGCCGAAGCCCCCGCUCCCAUUUGCGCCCUCCAGCUCGCGCUCUCGCCCCUCUGCUCGCUCUCGCGCAGCACUCGCCGCUACGCCGCACGCCAUAGCCGCCGACGGCUCGGAGCUCCUCUCCCGGCCAGCUCCGGCCCUCUCCUUCCUCUUCGCGACCACCACCGGCUCCGCCUCGUCCUCCCGCGUCGCGUGCUUGCGCUCUUCCGCGCUCGGUAAGCCCCGCGUGCCCGCUAGAGCUCACCGGAGUGAGUCGGAGCUCCGACGACCUCUCGGUUCGUACGGUUCUCCCUCUCCUCUCUGUCUCUGCUUACGUUCGAAGGUGCGUUGGAUCCGUCUUGGCCUUGCGCACCUUUUGCGUCGUUAGCUUACGCUCUACCGCCGUGAAACGGCCGGACCACGGCGAGCAGCGCCGCCGCGUCCGCCAUUCGCGACGGCGAGGUAGUUCCAGUGCUCGUCCGGUGCCAAAGAGGGUACGGUUGGACUCGUCUCGUUCUCGCGAAGCCGUAGGUGCUCUCGGUGUCGCCGGAAACCUCACCGGCGGCGAGAUUCCGGCUGAUCCGUGGCCGCGGAAUCACGGGGUGGAUGACAAGUGGGGUCAUCUGACCCGCGUGUCCCACCUGUCAGUGAGUCCGAGGGUUUGAACCCGGGUGCGCUUAGCGUUUUAGGUUGUUUUCCGUUUUAAAAGUAUUUUCAGAAAAUGGGUUAUGUAUUCAAAAAUCCAUAUCUUGAGGAAUAUAGCUCCAAAAAUUGUGAAAUAAAUUUUGGUGUGUUCCCUGUUUCCAGAUCUAUAGCCUAGUAUGUUUGCAUGUCAUGUUUAAGUAACUUUUCUGUAUGAAUAUACUUAAUCCAUGUUUUUGCUAAACUUGGAAAAUGCACAAUAAUUAAAAUAUGACUCAGAAAAAUAUGAAACUUGUUUUAUGGGCUUUGCAUGUAUGUUUACUCACUGGAAAAAUAUGUCUACAUAUUAUUUGGUGUAUAAAUGAAUUUAUGGUAAUUUAAAUGCUUGCAUGGCAGUGAUUUAUGAUUUUUAAUAAUUAAUUGGAUCAUGCAAUAAAUCUGGAAAAUUUUGUGGGUGUUUCUUAUGAUAUUAGACAAAUUGUAAAAAUAUGAAAUCUGUUGUUUGACACUUAUAUCACAGUAGAGUGAUUAUACUUACCCUAUGAAUUAAUCUUGUGAUUUUUGUGGCUCAAAAUAAGUAUCCAAAAAUUAUGAAAAAUUUACAGUAGACUUUAUGCUUAGCUGGUAGUCUCCUGUAAUUUUUAUGGAAAUUAUUGAUGAACAGAAUUGCAUGUGAUUUUUAAUGGGCCUAGAAAUGAAUAAAGAAAAUUAUAAAUUGUUGUAUAUAUAGGUUGGAUGGAAUAAGUUGGGUUUGGUGUAUCUUUGAAGCAUCAUGUGGGUUGCUGGUUGUAUUUGAAAAAUAAUUAUAGAAGAGAAUGCAAUAGAUGUUUGAUUCAGUUAAUUGCUCUUGGAGGUUGUUGACUACCUUGUAAUGAGCAUGACCAAGCAUAUCACUUAUGCAUCAUGUCAUGACUCCUUUAGUACCUUCUCAUACAAGCAUCCACUCGGGCAUCUCGCACUCCACUCAUAAGCACACCUGCAUCAUACAGGCUCGCAGGAGAAUGAAGUGGGACCCGAGGAGCCAGAGGAGAUUCAGAAGCAGGAACCUCCGGAAGCACAGGAACCCGGAGAGGAACUGCAGGAGUGUGCAGAUCACCGACCCAGCACAUUUGAGAAAGGCAAGCCCCAGAGCAUUCUAAAUCUCCCUAUUCUCGCUAACUUAUACAAAGCACUAUACUUGUUCUACUAUAUUGCAUUUAAGUGAUAGGAAUUGCUUGAUACCGUUGAUGCAUAUGUACUCCUUGUUACCCUUACUUGUUCACCUACCUUGUCCUAUGUAGAUAGGCACGGAGUCUAUGCUUAGCUUGCUUAGUCCGGUAGAAGUCGGGUGAUUUCCUGUCACCUGCGAGAUAUAGGUGGUUACCUGCUUGAUUAAGCAUGGAUUGCUUGGGGAAAAGAAUAACCAAGUGUGGAAUGUAACUGGAGACCGGGCAGGGUCUUAUAGUGGGUUGACCAUAGUGCCCCUGCCUGUGUCGAUUAAGGACCGAUCGUUGACGGCCCUCUUGUCAUGUUGAACGCAUGCCCCACCUUUAGCUGGAAGGAUAAGUCGUUCCGACCGCGAAGCCUGAGCACUAUCCGGGCCGGGAAUCGGCCCGAUGUACGCGCUGUAUUGGUGAUGGUUGAGGAGAACGACGAGGGCGCGGCGCGCAACCUUGGUAUACCUUGGAUACCUUGGUCGCCGGAACGGUCCUCGGGUAUGGGCGGUGCCUGUCGAACCCGCGAAUUGGUCCUGGAUAGUGCAAUACGGUGACCUGUAGCUCACUUGAUCAGUGAGUGUGGUUUGUGUGGGGAAUAAACUCGCCAGCUGGUUAGAAAUCGAUUCGAAUCGCCAUCGCUCCUGGAUAGUGAGCACUUGACAUGAGCCCUGUCCUCGUAGUAAGGACUAUGGAACACUUGGGUUAUAAUGAUGAAUGGUUAUAAGAAAUGCUAUGAUGAGGUACUAUCAUAGUCUUAUACUUGCUUGUAAUAGUGCAGGUGCAAACCUAGAUGAUAGGUAAUGAUACUUUCAACUUGAGCAAAUUAAAAGAAGAAAGACUUAUGUAGGUUAUGAUAAUAAAAUCCUGCGGUUUUGCAAAGUGGUUGUCAGCUACCCCACUAUAUAGCCUUCAUGAUCCUUGAUGAGUCUUUAUUUUAAGUUUAUGACGGGUAAGUCUAGCUGAGUACCUUCUCGUACUCAGGGUUCUACUCCCAUGUUGUUUUGCAGAUGGUCAAAUGUACUUUGGUUAUUGCAUCCUCUGUCUGUACCCAGCCAUGGGUGAUGACUAGACCAAGGGCGAUGGUCACUCCAUCUCUUCUUUUGCUUUGGUGGGAAUGACCAAACUAUGGCACUGUAUCAGACUAAGUGCGUGUGUUGUAUUUUCGAACUAUGAAGCUUCCGCUACUUGAAGAACUUGGUUUGUAAUAACUUUAAGUACUCCGAUGUAUUUUAUAAACGUUGUAACCUGGGUGUAUUUGUGGAUGGCGACCGCUAAACUUAUUACGAUCUUGGCUGUUGUACGAUGUGUGGUUUGAAAUCCUUCGAGAUUUCACGGACUACCGGGAUUAUAUGGGCUUAAGCCUGAUGGUUUGACUAUGCAAAUGGUCGUUGUUAGGCUUAAUCUCUUAUAAUUUGGUCGGUUCUGUUACAGCUGGCAUCGGAGCAAGGUUUAGCGAGUUACUGUUCAUAAGUACGUUCUAAACAAAAUCUAAACCGGUCUAAUAAAGGAUUUUAUUAAUUAAUAAUGAUCAAGGUGUUAAACUAAGUUUUGGAAAACUAUCUAGUGUGCCAUGGUCAUAUCCUUUAUGCCCAGUUAAGGACUCUAAGGUGGCUAGUUAAGUACUGACUUGGGGGUUAAUGCAUCAUAUUUUUAUUUCGUCGCUCAUACGGCGUGCAAUAGUAUGAGUGCCAUUCAUUUGAGUGGUAAUGUAUGGAUCCAUUUUUCCUCUACGCCACGGUAAGUGGGAGCUGGGAGAGCAUGAUCGGAUACACUGCCGGUCUAGGGGAGUGUUGCUAGGUACUGUGUCAUGCACACAUGUUUUGGUGUGUCUUGGAAACAGUACCGCAUGUUGGGAAUUCCGUCCUGAGAGGCGAUGCCGUCAAUAGGGCGAUGAUGUGGGUAGUGACACAUCACAUGCAUGGACGGGUGUCAGUGUAUGUGAAGUGCAUAGUUUAAAAUUUUGUUUUGCAUUAUCAUACUGUGGGUGGGCUGAAGUGAGUUUUCUGCAGGUACCCUAACCACGUUCUCGCUUAGAACGCUAGUUACGUUAUGAGAGAACGUUGUGUGCCACCGCAUAUACCGCUUAGUGUUAACCUUUGUUUCUAAGUUUGUGAGAUCGUAAGUUCGUGCAUGCAUCAUGUUCAUGUCAUAUCAUUACUUACUUUCCCCCUUAAUCUAAUCUGUCCCAAUUCUAAAUAAAAUAAUUAAAGGUAAUCCUCGCUCUUACCCACGGUAUUCCAUUUGCAGCAGAUGGCACGCACUAGGCUCACCGCUCGCAAGUCCACUGGUGGGCGGGCCCCUCGCCAUCCGUUGGCAGCUAGGAGCUCACGACAUAAGAGCAAGUUCCUGGAGGAGUUUGGGAUGCCCACUUUGCUUUGGAGGGUGCUCAGUUCGAUGGGGUAUCCCGAAGGAAGGGAGCCUCGCUACUAUUGGGAUAAGGAGCCGCUUGGUGACGAGACCCUGGUGGGGAUCGAGGUAGUUGUCCCUACCAGUGGAGGAGACCCUGCUUGGGGCGGCUGGGUGUACGAGUCUCGAGGUGUCACACCUUUCCACGGUGCCAGCAGGGCAGCUUUCGCAGUUCUGAGGGACCUCAUGGAGAGGUUUCCACAGGAGCUGGCCCACGCCUUCGCUGGGGUGUUUCCCCGGGGUGACCCCUACACUUCGGUGUGGGAUCAGUCUGAGGUGAAUGCUCUAGAGAGGAGUGCGGAUGAGGACCAGCACAGUGAUGGUGCAGCUAUGAGUGCCAUGUACGCGUUGAUGAAGACCUAUGGAGGCCUGGAGCGUUGUUUGGGUCGUUUGUCCGGGUCUCUUCUCACCGUCCAGGAUGAGAAGCGUCAGUUGCAGCGUGACUUUGACUCUGAGGUUGAGAGGCUACAGGCAGAGUUGGCCCGUGUGACCACAGAGAGACCAGGCAGUCUAGAAGAACAGUGAGCUGAGCCAGGACCUGCUUGCAGUGCGAGAGCAGAGGGACAGGGUGACUACUGCUCACAGGAACUGUGAGCGCAUGCUAGUCCAUGUGCUUGGACAAAGGAAUGAAGCCUGGCAUGAGGAGGACACUUUGAGGGCCCGACAGCUAGAGCUAGAGCAGCAGCUAGCUAAUGCUGAGGAGUACAAUGAGAACUUGCAUGAGGAGAUCCACCAGCUGCAUAACCAGCUCCACCCUCACCACCUGCCUGGAGCAGCAGAGCUAGACUCUGAGGACGAGAUGGACGCGGAUCCCGAGAUCGGAGCAGCUGCAAGUGGAGAUGAGGAUGAGGAUGGCUCCGGCAUGGACAGUGACCAUAGCGAGUAGAUACUAGGGCUCUAGAGCUAGCCCUUCUUCUUGUGUUGUUGUAUGUUGCAUGGCAUGUCGUGUACUUUUGGAUCUGGGCUAUGUAAGACUUUAUGAGUAAAUGCUGAAAGUCCAGUGUAUGUAUGCUGGCAAGUUGGAUGUACGCGAAUCUUGUUGCGUGAAUGUUGAGUAAUCUGUUCGUGAUGUUGUGCGUAGAUGAUGAAUUGUUGUGACCCUGUUUAUUGUGCGAAUUUAUUCCCUCAGUAAAUUCAGUGCGGCAUGAUUCUACACAUUUCUACCGUUGCUGGCAACUCCUAACGAUUGCUUAUCAUUGACGUAUGCAGAUGGUGCAAACACGUGGCGGGGGUAACAGCAAUCCGGGCCUUGGAGCAGGUACAUCCGGAGGUGGGGCUCCACGGAAUGAGGACAGAGUACCAACACCGCCAGCACCACCACCUCCUCCAUACACCGCGGACGUGUUUUUCGCGCAGUUUCUGAGGAGCCAACGCAACAUGGAACAGAUGCAACGCAACAUGGAAGAGGCUCUGCGCAACAUAGCUGACAACACCCGUCGUGGGGAUAACCAGGGCGGCCGUGAAGUCAACCAGUACAGUUCGUUCAAGGACUUCAUGGAUACCAAGCCACCGAUCUUCAAAGAGGCUUUGGAACCGCUCGAAGCAGAUGAGUGGAUCAACACUAUGGAGCAGAAGUUUCGUCUUCUCCGAAUGAUAGAAGAACUUAAGGUUGAGUAUGCGGCGCAUCAGUUGCAAGGACCCGCCGGGAAAGCUGUGGUCCCAUCACCGUACCACCUACCCAGAGGGGACCCCAAUUACCUGGAACCGUUUCACCACAGCUUUUCGGGGAAAUUACAUUCCUCCGGGUGUGAUUGAAAUGAAGGUUGGGGAGUUCAUGAGGCUGUCCCAGGGGACGAAAUCGGUAAAGGAGUAUCUACAUACUUUCAAUAAUCUCGCUCGCUAUGCCCCUGAGUUUGUAAACACGGAGGCUAAGAAGAUUGCUAGUUUCCAGAGGAGUUGAAUCCAAAGAUGCUGAAGACCAUGGGUACAGGGGCCAGGGCUACCUUCAAUGCCUAUAUCAGUGACUGUCUGACCCAGGAGAACAAUAACAACAACUACAGCGCAUCCAAGUCACGUAAGAGGGCUUUUGAAGCCGGAUCAUCUCAGUCCAGGGCACCAGUGGUAGGGCGACAGCAGUAUCGUCCUCCUGCCCCAGGUGCUAGGUUCCGACCGCCGCAAAGAAGGAACACCGGGCAUCCAACACAGUAGAAGCCGUACAAGGUGGCGAUAGCUCCUGCCAAGCCAAAGGCAAUUCAAGCUGCCGCACCUGCCGUCAACAAUGCGCCCAAGGGUCCGUGCUAUAACUGCCACAAGAUGGGGCACUUUGCUAAGGAAUGUCCCUACCUCAAGAGGCAGCAGCCAACCUAUCCAGCUCGUGUGCACCAUACCUCGAUCGAGGAGAUCCCGGAAGGAGAACCGGUAACAGCUGGUAUGUUUCCUGUCAACCAACAUCUCGCAGUUGUUUUGUUUGAUUCUGGAUCAUCGCAUUCAUUCAUGAGCCAAGCAUUUGCACAAAAGCAUGAUCAGUCAGUUAUUGAGUUAGGUUAUGGCUAUCGCAUCAGCUCAGCCAGAGCCGAUGUGUUGACUAAUAAAACAGUAACAGGAGUUACUUUGGAUAUCAGUGGCCGGAGGUUUCGUGUAAACCUUGUGGUCAUGCCAGGACUGGUUUUGGAUGUCAUCAUUGGAAUGAACAAGAUGACUGACUGGGGCGCGGCUAUAGAUGCCGGGAAUAGAACUCUUUCCCUCAGAGACCCACAAGGGAAGGGUGUGCUUCAGGUCAAGCUACCCAGAUGGUUGGACUUCGCCAGUCUUUCGUGUGCAGUACAAGUAGUUCCACUAGAACACAUACCCGUGGUAUGUGAGUUCCCUGAUGUGUUUCCUGAGGAUUUACCAGGACUUCCCCUAGAUAGGGAAGUGGAGUUUGCAAUCGAGUUGAUACCGGGUACAGCACCUAUGUCUAGAAGGCCGUAUCGGAUGCCACCAAACGAACUCGCUGAGUUGAAGAAUCAACUAAAAGAAUUACUGGAUAAAGGGUUCAUCCGGCCAAGCUUGUCGGAAUGGGGUUGUCCAGCGUUGUUUGUGAAAAAGAAGGAUCAGUCAUUGCGCAUGUGCGUGGACUAUCGUCCACUCAAUGCAGUGACAAUUAAGAAUAAGUAUUCUUUACCAAGGAUUGACAUCCUGUUUGAUCAGUUGUCCAAGGCAAGAGUGUUUUCUAAGAUAGAUUUGAGGUCUGGAUAUCACCAAUUCAAGAUUCGUCCGCAAGAUAUCCCGAAGACUGCUUUUUCCACCAAAUAUGGGUUGUAUGAGUAUCUUGUCAUGUCCUUUGGAUUGACAAAUGCUCCUGCAUACUUUAUGUAUCUGAUGAAUUCGGUCUUUAUGCCAGAAUUGGAUAAGUUUGUUGUGGUGUUUAUCGAUGAUAUCCUGGUUUAUUCAGAAAAUGAGCAAGAUCACGCCGAACAUCUGAGAGUUGUGCUGACACGAUUACGAGAGCAUCAGUUAUAUGCCAAGUUCAGCAAGUGUGAAUUCUGGUUAAAGAGAGUUCCUUUCCUAGGGCACAUUCUGUCUGAAGAAGGGAUUGCCGUGGAUCCAUCCAAAGUGCAAGAGGUUAUGGACUGGAAGGCACCAACUUCUGUCUCGGAAGUUAGAAGUUUUCUUGGUCUGGCCGACUAUUAUCGUCGUUUCAUACCUGACUUCUCCAAGAUUGCUAAGCCAAUGACAAGUUUGCUACAAAAGGAUCAUAAGUUUGUCUAGACGGAAGGGUGUGAGUUAGCCUUCCGCACCUUGCGAAAGUUGCUAACCACUGCCCCCGUUCUGGCACAACCUAAUAUAGAAAAGCCGUUUGAUGUGUUUUGUGACGCAUCGAAGAGUGGCCUGGGGUGUGUGUUGAUGCAAGAUGGCAGGGUGAUAGCUUAUGCUUCCCGACAGUUGAGAAAGCACGAAGUCAACUACCCAACGCACGACCUCGAGUUAGCCGCAGUAGUGCACGCUUUGAAGAUUUGGAGACAUUAUCUGCUGGGAAAUAAGUGUCACAUUUAUACCGAUCAUAAGAGUUUGAAGUAUAUCUUCACUCAGUCCGAGCUAAAUAUGAGGCAACGACGGUGGUUAGAGUUAAUCAAGGACUAUGAUCUGGAAGUUCACUAUCAUCCGGGCAAGGCUAAUGUGGUAGCAGAUGCGUUGAGUCGUAAACCGCACUAUCAAGUGGUUCAACCGUUGUUUGAAGAUGGGUUCAACCUUAUGCAUCCUGAGGUCUUAUGUCACAUACAACUCAGUUGUUCACUCGAGAGUCAAGUCAUUGAAGGACAGAAAACAGACAAGGGUAUUUUCCACAUCAAAGAGAAGAUCAAAGAUGACCCAAAAACUCAAUUUCGAGUUGAUGAGAAAGGGGUACUGUGGUUUCAACAUCGGUUAGUAGUUCUGAAAGAUCGGGAAUUGAAGAAUCGCAUCAUGGAUGAAGCUCAUCUCUCUAAGCUUUCUAUUCAUCCUGGCAGUAGCAAAAUGUAUCAAGAUCUAAGACCCCACUUUUGGUGGACCAAGAUGAAGAAAGAAAUAGCCGCAUAUGUAGCCCGUUGCGACACGUGUUGCAGAGUUAAGGCCAUCCAUAUGAAGCCUGCAGGUCUGUUACAACCAUUAUCCGUUCCAGAGUGGAAAUGGGAAGAGGUCAGUAUGGACUUUAUCACGGGUUUACCAACAACAAGGAAGGGGAAUGACUCGAUUUGGGUCAUCAUGGAUCGACUGACCAAAUCGGCCCAUUUCAAUCCUGUGAAGACCCGCUACCGACCUCCUGAGUAUGCCGAUAUAUAUAUGGCUGAGAUUGUCAAGUUGCAUGGUAUUCCCAAGACCAUCAUAUCAGAUAGAGGACCGCAAUUCACCGCUCACUUCUAGGAGCGCAUGCAUAAGAGUUUGGGAACCAGUCUGAUAAGAAGCACGGCGUACCAUCCCCAGACUUCGGGUCAAACAGAAAGGCUAAACCAAGUAUUAGAAGAUAUGCUGAGGGCCUGUGUGCUAUCGUCCAAGGGAUCAUGGGAGUCAUGGCUACCUCUGGCUGAAUUCUCCUACAAUAACAGUUAUCAAGAGAGCAUCAAGAUGGCCCGGUUCGAAGCUCUGUAUGGUCGGAGAUGUAGAACUCCGUUGAACUGGGUUGAACCGGGUGAAAGAAGAUACUAUGGUAUCGACUUUGUGAAUGAGGCAGAGAAGAAGGUACAAAUCAUACAGCAGCAUAUGCAAGCAGCACAAUCACGACAAAAGAGUUAUGCCGAUAAGAGAAGGAGGCCACUUGAAUUCAAUAUAGGUGACUAUGUGUACCUCAAGGUUACGCCAAUGAAGAAAGUUCAAUGUUUCCGAGUUCGAAGCAAGCUUGCACCCAGAUAUGUGGGACCGUACCAAGUGCUGGAGAGGAAAGGCCCAGUGGCCUACAAGAUCCAGUUACCUGAAGAGUUGAGCUCGAUCUUUCCGGUCUUCCAUGUGUCGCAACUGCGGAAAUGUCUGAAGGUACCUGAACAAAGAAUUGAACCUCGAGGAAUCAAGAUAAAAGCAGACCUAGAGUAUAAAGAGCAGCCAGUGGGGAUUGUGGAUACCAAGGAGCGAGUAACCCGAAACAAAAUUGUCAGAACAUAUAAGGUGGUGUGGAGUCAUCAUGACGAUAGGGAUGCCACCUGGGAAACAGAGGAUUACUUGAAAACAGUUUAUCCAAAAUUUCAUAAGAAAUGGUUAGUAAUCCAAAAUCUCGGGACGAGAUUUCCCUAAGGGGGGAAGGGCUAUAACACCCUAGGUGUUAAGCAUGCACUUAGUCUUAUCAAAGUCAUGCAUAAGCAUUCCCAUCAAGCAUAAGCAUCAUGAGCAUGUCAUUCUUUUCAAAAUAUGAUUUUAUGUGCUUCAUUUCAUGAGUUUUAAAUAUGCUAAAAAUAUGAUGCUUGCUUCUAAAAAUGUGAAAUAUUCAAACUAGGUCGAUUUAUGUGUAAGAAGAAUUAAGAACAUUUUUGUGAAAUUUUUGGAGCUAUAGAAUUUGAGAAAUGGAAUUUAUACAAAAUAUCCAAAAUGAAUUUAUUUAAAAACCUAGAACUAGGUUUUAAUUUGUAAUUCAAAUUCUACUUAGAAUUUGGUUUUGCUUAUUAAAACAAAGUUGUAGAAAUUUUGUUUUGGAACAACUUUACUUUUGGGAGAAAAUGGUGAAAAUGAUUGGAAAAUGGUCAAAAUGAAUUUGGAAGAGCAUUUAAGAAAAGAAAUUCAAAAAAAAAGGGAAAAGGGGGCGCUAGCAGGCCGCGGCCUCACUUCUGGCCCGCUGGCCGAAGCCGGCCCGGCCCGCCCGCGCCUUCCCCUUCCCCUUCCCCUUCCCCGCGCUCGCGCUCGCGUCCGCGCGCGGACGGCCUCGCCGUGCCGCCGUGGCGCGCCGGUAGAGCCUGGCCGCCGCGUGGCGGGCAUGCGACGGCGUGGAGAAGCCCUCGUCGGCCACCAGGAGCCCCCGGUCGCGUCCGCCGAAGCCCCCACUCCCAUUUGCGCCCUCCACCUCGCGCUCUCGCCCCUCUGCUCGCUCUCGCGCAGCACUCGCCGCUCCGCCGCACGCCAUAGCCGCCGACGGCUCGGAGCUCCUCUCCCGGCCAGCUCCGGCCCUCUCCUUCCUCUUCGCGACCACCACCGGAUCCGCCUCGUCCUCCCGCGUCGCGUGCUUGCGCUCUUCCGCGCUCGGUGAGCCCCGCGUGCCUGCUAGAGCUCACCGGAGUGAGUCGGAGCUCCGGCGACCUCUCGGCUCGUACGGUUCUCCCUCUCCUCUCUGUCUCUGCUUACGUUCGUAGGUGCGUUGGAUCCGCCUUGGCCUUGCGCACCUUUUUCCGUCGUUAGCUUACGCUCUACCGCCGUGAAAAGGCCGGACCACGGCGAGCAGCGCCGCCGCGUCCGCCAUUCGCGACGGCGAGGUAGUUCCAGUGCUCGUCCGGUGCCAAAGAGGGUACGGUUGGACUCGUCUCGUUCUCGCGAAGCCGUAGGUGCUCUCGGUGUCGCCGGAAACCUCACCGGCGGCGAGAUUCCGGCUGAUCCGUGGCCGCGGAAUCACGGGGUGGAUGACAAGUGGGGUCAUCUGACCCGCGUGUCCCACCUGUCAGUGAGUCCGAGGGUUUGAACCCGGGUGCGCUUAGCGUUUUAGGUUGUUUUCCGUUUUAAAAGUAUUUUCAGAAAAUGGGUUAUGUAUUCAAAAAUCCAUAUCUUGAGGAAUAUAGCUCCAAAAAUUGUGAAAUAAAUUUUGGUGUGUUCCCUGUUUCCAGAUCUAUAGCCUAGUAUGUUUGCAUGUCAUGUUUAAGUAACUUUUCUGUAUGAAUAUACUUAAUCCAUGUUUUUGCUAAACUUGGAAAAUGCACAAUAAUUAAAAUAUGACUCAGAAAAAUAUGAAACUUGUUUUAUGGGCUUUGCAUGUAUGUUUACUCACUGGAAAAAUAUUUCUACAUAUUAUUUGGUGUAUAAAUGAAUUUAUGGUAAUUUAAAUGCUUGCAUGGCAGUGAUUUAUGAUUUUUAAUAAUUAAUUGGAUCAUGCAAUAAAUCUAGAAAAUUUUGUGGGUGUUUCUUAUGAUAUUAGACAAAUUGUAAAAAUAUGAAAUCUGUUGUUUGACACUUAUAUCACGGUAGAGUGAUUAUACUUACCCUAUAAAUUAAUCUUGUGAUUUUUGUGGCUCAAAAUAAGUAUCCAAAAAUUAUGAAAAAUUUACAGUAGACUUUAUGCUUAGCUGGUAGUCUCCUGUAAUUUUUAUGGAAAUUAUUGAUGAACAGAAUUGCAUGUGAUUUUUAAUGGGCCUAGAAAUAAAUAAAGAAAAUUAUAAAUUGUUGUAUAUAUAGGUUGGAUGGAAUAAGUUGGGUUUGGUGUAUCUUUGAAGCAUCAUGUGGGUCGCUGGUUGCAUUUGAAAAAUAAUUAUAGAAGAGAAUGCAAUAGAUGUUUGAUUCAGUUAAUUGCUCUUGGAGGUUGUUGACUACCUUGUAAUGAGCAUGACCAAGCAUAUCACUUAUGCGUCAUGUCAUGACUCCUUUAGUACCUUCUCAUACAAGCAUCCACUCGGGCAUCUCGCACUCCACUCAUAAGCACACCUGCAUCAUACAGGCUCGCAGGAGAACGAAGUGGGACCCGAGGAGCCAAAGGAGAUUCAGGAGCAGGAACCUCCGGAAGCACAGGAACCCGGAGAGGAACUGCAGGAGUGUCCAGAUCACCGACCCAACACAUUUGAGAAAGGCAAGCCCCGAAGCAUUCUAAAUCUCCCUAUUCUCGCUAACUUAUACAAAGCACUAUACUUGUUCUACUAUAUUGCAUUUAAGUGAUAGGAAUUGCUUGAUACCGUUGAUGCAUAUGUACUCCUUGUUACCCUUACGCGUUCACCUACCUUGUCCUAUGUAGAUAGGCACGGAGUCUAUGCUUAGCUUGCUUAGUCCGGUAGAAGUCGGGUGAUUUCCUGUCACCUGCGAGAUAUAGGUGGUUACCUGCUUGAUUAAGCAUGGAUUGCUUGGGGAAAAGAAUAACCAAGUGUGGAAUGUAACUGGAGACCGGGCAGGGUCUUAUAGUGGGUUGACCAUAGUGCCCCUGCCUGUGUCGAUUAAGGACCGAUCGUUGACGGACCUCUUGUCAUGUUGAACGCAUGCCCCACAUUUAGCUGGAAGGAUAAGUCGUUCCGACCGCGAAGCUUGAGCACUAUCCGGACCGGGAAUCGGCCCGAUGUACGCGCUGUAUUGGUGAUGGUUGAGGAGAACGACGAGGGCGCGGCACGCAACCUUGGUAUACCUUGGAUACCUCGGUCGCCGAAACGGUCCUCGGGUACUGGCGGUGCCUGUCGAACCCGCGAAUUGGUCCUGGAUAGUGCAAUACGGUGACCUGUAGCUCACUUGAUCAGUGAGUGUGGUUUGUGUGGGGAAUAAACUCGCCAGCUGGUUAGAAAUCGAUUCGAAUCGCCAUCGCUCCUGGAUAGUGAGCACUUGACAUGAGCCCUGUCCUCGUAGUAAGGACUAUGGAACACUUGGGUUAUAAUGAUGAAUGGUUAUAAGAAAUGCUAUGAUGAGGUACUAUCAUAGUCUUAUACUUGCUUGUAAUAGUGCAGGUGCAAACCUAGAUGAUAGGUAAUGAUACUUUCAACUUGAGCAAAUUAAAAGAAGAAAGACUUAUGUAGGUUAUGAUAAUAAAAUCCUGCGGUUUUGCAAAGUGGUUGUCAGCUACCCCACUAUAUAGCCUUCAUGAUCCUUGAUGAGUCUUUAUUUUAAGUUUAUGACGGGUAAGUCUAGCUGAGUACCUUCUCGUACUCAGGGUUCUACUCCCAUGUUGUUUUGCAGAUGGUCAAAUGUACUUUGGUUAUUGCAUCCUCUGUCUGUACCCAGCCAUGGGUGAUGACUAGACCAAGGGCGAUGGUCACUCCAUCUCUUCUUUUGCUUUGGAGGGAAUGACCAAACUAUGGCACUGUAUCAGACUAAGCGCGUGUGUUGUAUUUUCGAACUAUGAAGCUUCCGCUACUUGAAGAACUUGGUUUGUAAUAACUUUAAGUACUCCGAUGUAUUUUAUAAACGUUGUAACCUGGGUGUAAUUGUGGAUGGCGACCGCUAAACUUAUUACGAUCUUGGCUGUUGUACGAUGUGUGGUUUGAAAUCCUUCGAGAUUUCACGGACUACCGGGAUUAUAUGGGCUUAAGCCUGAUGGUUUGACUAUGCAAAUGGUCGCUGUUAGGCUUAAUCUCUUAUAAUUUGGUCGGUUCUGUUACAGCUCUGGAAUAUUUGGAAGACGAGGAAGCAGAUGAGGAACCAGAGGAAGAUCCAGAAAUGACAGUCAUGAUGAAGAAGGAUGAGGACACAGUGAUGGAGAAAAAGGAAGACUCAGACGUGGAGAUGCUAGAUGCCCCACCCCCUGGGUUCACUGCCACAAAAAAGAAAAAGACUCUCAAAAUCAAAGAAAAACUGGAUGAUGAGUUUCUGAGGCGCAGCAAGAGAGUCUCCCAGAAGCUCGGAGGAUUCAAGAAUGAAGAAAGUGCUAAAAAGCAUAAAGAGGAGCAGAAAGGCAUCAAGACUCCUAGGGAGGCACAGAAGAACAAGAAAACCAAGGCUUCUAAGAAGGGGAAGAAACUAGAAGUUGGAGACAAUGCCCUGGAAGAAGACCCCAUCCCCCUUGCUGUUAGCCCACCGGAGGGGGCUCCCCACCUCCCCAAACAUGUACUCGAAGGCAUUGGGGAGGGCUUCCUGCAGAUACAACCUUCGGUCGUGUCUGCUGCACUGCUGGACAAUGACGACCUCGAUGAAUAGAACCCCCAAGAAGUUGGUUGUAGGGCCAUCCAUAGCUAUGGUCUCUUUUGCUUUCUGUUUCGCUUUUGUUGUUCCUAGCCAGUGUAUGUAUUGGCCCAAUAACCACACAAGAUGUAACCGGUGUCUCAUGUCUUUGUGGAACGUGUGGAAACUGAACCUUCUUAUCCAUCGUUUAUUGUUCAAAGUUUACUCAGGUGGCCCUUUUGUCCCUUUCAGAGCUUUAGAUCUGUUCCACUUAAUGUAUCUAUUUGCACUCUGUCUGUUUGACAUUUGCAUGUCCAAACUAACUCCCCCCCACCCGUUGGUAUCCAUGAACAACGAAAGUAACAAUAACAGAUCCAUCAAAAUCCUUUUUUGGAACAUUAGAGGACUUAACUCGCAAGAAAAAUGGGAUGCAGUUAGAGAUAAAAUCAGUGAAAGUGCUUGUCAAGUUUUAUGCUUACAGGAAACUAAGAGGGAAACUUUCGACUAUUUCUAUAUCAAGAGAUUUUGUCCUAAACCUCUGGAUCAGUUUGCUUUCUUCCCAUCGGUUGGAGCCUCUGGAGGUCUCCUCACUGUUUGGAAUAGUAGUAUCUUUGUUGGCUCCAUUGUUCAAAUGAAUUCCUAUGCUAUCACUGUCAAACUAGUAUGCAAACUAGAUAACAAGACUUUUCAUGUCACCAACAUUUAUGGACCUGCAAAUCCUGCCCAGAAGCUUGGGUUUGUCACCUGGCUAAUAAACUUAGAUUCUUCUGAAUUUGAUGACUGGGUACUAGGGGGAGAUUUCAACCUGAUCAGAAACCCAGAGAAGGAACAAGCCAGGUGGAGACAUGGGCGAAAUGAACAUGUUUAAUGAACUUAUCUGUGACCUUGAUCUUGUGGACAUCCCUUUUAGUGGCAGAAAUUUCUCCUGGAGCAACAUGCAGGCUGAUCCCCUCUUGGUCAAACUAGACUGGGUCUUCACUAAUUCCAGCAGGACCCUGUCCCACCCGACAACCUUUGUGCAACCUCUAUCAAGACCCAUCUCAGAUCAUAUUCCUUAUGUUCUGCAUAUGUUCUGAUUUGAAAAUUUUUGGAUAGAACACCCUGGUUUCAUGGACAUUGUAAAACUACACUGGGAUAAUUCCCCUGUCUAUGCAAAUGCAGCCAAAAACCUUUCUAGUAAGUUGAAACAGGUCAGAAGUGGCUUAAGGAAAUGGAGCAAAUCCUUGUCGAACCUGAACAAACUUAUUUUCAACUGUAACUGGGUUCUUUAGCUCCUGGAUGGUCUAGAAGACCAAAGGAACCUUUCCAGACUAGAAAAUUCCUUAAGAAGAUUGGUCAAACAUCAUCUCUCCCAGUUGCUUGACUCCAAGAGAAAAUACUGGAAACAGAGAAGGUCAAACAUCAUCUCUCCCAGUUGCUUGACUCCAAGAGAAAAUACUGGAAACAGAGAAACACCAUAAGAUGGGUUAAGUUUGGUGAUGAAAACACACAGUUCUUCCACUCCCUAGCUACCAUCACUCACAAACGAAACUUCAUAGUCUCUCUAUCUAAUGGUGAGGGUGACCUUAUAACAGACCACGAACAAAAGGCCAUCCUCAUUUGGAAUGCUUUCAGAGAGAGACUUGGAGUCAGUGAUUUUGAAGGUAUUAGCUAUGAGGUUGGAGAACUCCUUCAAGAACAUGACCUAACAGAACUGGAUGUUGAGUUCUCGAAUGAAGAGAUGGACACAGUCAUCAAAACCCUUCCCAACAAUCAUGCCCCUGGACCAGAUGGUUUCAAUGGGUGUUUCAUCAAGAAAUGUUGGAAUAUAAUUAAAGAAGAUUUCUCUAGGACAAUGAAGGAUUUCUGCAACUUUAACACAGACCUAAGCAGUAUCAACACUUCCCUCAUUGUCCUCAUUCCAAAAAAGGACAAUGCUGAAACGGUCAAUGAUUAUAGGCCAAUCUCCCUUCUAAAUUAUUCUCUGAAAUGCAUAACCAAGAUCCUCUCCUCCAGACUACAGUCAAAGAUUCUGCAACUUGUUCACACUAAUCAGUAUGGCUUCAUCAAAGGAAGAACCAUCCAUGACUGCCUUGCUUGGUCCUUUCAAUUCCUUCACCUUUGCCAUCACUCGAAAAAGGAGAUUAUCAUCCUGAAAUUAGACUUUGAGAAGGCUUUUGACAGAGUAGAGCACCAGGCUAUUCUGGAGAUCUUAAAGCAUAAAGGCAUUUCUGAGAAAUGGGUAAGUUGGCUUCAGAACCUCCUAAGUACUGCCAGCUCUGCUGUUCUCCUAAAUGGUAUACCAGGAAAGAAUUUCAAAUGCAAAAGGGGAGUAAGACAAGGAGAUCCCCUCUCUCCCCUUCUCUUUGUUCUAGCAGCUGACCUUCUCCAGUCCAUCAUAAAUAAAGCUUGGCAAGCUGGCAGCCUAAAGCAUCCUCUCAGUGAUGACUUCCAAGAUGAUUUCCCUAUUGUGCAGUACGCUGAUGAUACCCUCCUCAUCCUCCCUGGUGACGCCAGAUCUCUUUUCUGUCUGAAAGGACUACUAAGAUCUCUCGCUGACUCGACUGGACUGCACGUUAACUUUGACAAAUCCUUUAUGGUGCCAAUCAAUAUGAGUCUAGAAAGAGUCACUCACCUAGCCAAUACAUUUGGCUGUCAGGUUGGAGAAAUGCCGUUCACAUAUCUCGGACUCCCUCUUGGAACGACAAAACCAUCUAUCACCGAAUUUGCCCCCCUCAUUACCAAAAUGGAAAGAAGACUCACAGGUAUCAGCAAAUUCCUGUCCUACAAUGCCAGACUUAUAUUAGUGAACUCUGUCUUCUCUGCCUUACCAACAUUUUACAUGUGCACCACAAAGCUGCCCCCAGUAGUUAUCAAGCAAAUUGAUAUCUACAGAAAACAUUGCCUUUGGGACAAAGGAGAAAUAAAUAGGAAAGGAAAAUGUCUAGUAGCUUGGGAGACUGCCUGUAAACCCAAAGAUCAAGGGGGCCUGGGUAUCAUUGACAUUCAGAAACAAAAUGAAGCCCUGUUACUAAAAUUCUUAGAUAAAUUUUAUAACAGAGCAGAUCUACCAUGGGUCAAGCUAACAUGGAGCAAACUGUAUGCAAAUGAGUCCAUUCCUCCACAUGCAAGAAGCCCUGUCGGCUCCCCCUGGUGGAAAGACAUAAUGAAACUCUUUCCAAUUUUCCAAAAUAUCUCCAUUUGCACACCCAAUAAAGGAAACUCAAUUCUCCUUUGGUCAGACAAUUGGAUGGAUCAAACAGCAAAGGACACAUUUCCACAACUUUAUUCCUUCACUAGAAAACCCAAAUGCUCCAUAAAGCUCUUCCUCAACCAACCAUUGGAGUUUUUAUUCAGUCCCCUACCUCUACCGCCUAUUGCUGCAGAUCAGCUUGAGGAACUUCAAACUAUCAUACACAACAGACACUGGGACGUGAACCUCAAUGAUAUCUGGUCCUACAAUUGGGGAACUUCAAACUACAGCAGUAAGAAAGCCUAUGCCCUUUUCAUCAAAUCUACCCCUGACUAUCCACUCUUCAAAUGGCUCUGGAAAUCAGGCAACCUGGGAAACCAUAAAUUCUUCUUCUGGUUGCUGUUGAGGGAUCGUCUGAACACCAGGAACCUCCUAUGCAGAAAACACAUGCACCUGGAUGACUAUACAUGUUUGAUGUGCUCUCAGGGGUGCGAAGAGACCAGUUUUCACUUAUUUUUUGAAUGCAGCUUCAGUAAAGAAUGUUGGGAGACAAUCCCCAUUUCCUGGGACUUCAACCUCAAUCCUGUGGACAUGAUUGUACGAGCAUGCUUACAAUUUGGCAACCCCAUCUUUAGAGAAAUCCUCAUUACUGCCUGCUGGAUCAUCUGGAACACAAGAAAUGGCAUUAUAUUUGACCAUGGUCAGAAGAAUAUACAUGUAUGGAAACAACAGUUCAGAGAGGAAAUUGCUUUAGUUUGUAACAAAGCAAGACCCAGUGUUAGCUCUGCCCUUAGUAGCUGGAGAGAGUCUUACUUGUAACAUUCUUGAUUUUUCUGUUUUGGGCGUGCGGCCCUGUAAUCUUUGGCUCCUGAUUUUGUAACGAUUCCUUUAUUUAUAUUGAAAUACAAAAAAAAGGGGUGGGAAGCUCCCCCACCAUUUCAUCAAAAAAAAAAACAUGCCAGGCAACACAUUAAUAAUUUCUCCCUACUGUUCCAGAAGCAAGCAAAAAGCCAGCAGCAAGGAAUAUUCAGCUAUAGCUCAAGAAAAGGUCUUAAUUCUUUACUAAGAAAAGGUCUUGAUUCUUUACUAAGACAAGGCAAGAAAUUAUUUCAGUAGAAGAAAAUGUUGCUUGUCAAUGUUGUUGUAAGUUCAAAUUUUAGAUUUGUGAUACAAGUUAAAAGGUUACCGAAUUAAGUGGAAAAUAUGAAUUAUUAGAGUGGUGCUAGCUGCAAAACCUAAAUGGUCACUCUAAUUAAGUGCGAUAUAGGUUUUUUCCUAAUAAUACAAUACUCUAAUUUUGCCAUGCUAAGAGAUUAAAUACAUUGACUACACUGAGUAUAACUAGUAUAUUGCCCGUGCUAACGCUACGGCGACUGUUCAAUUAUGUUCAAAUUAAAACCAGGUCUCUUUGACAUAGAGGCCACCAAUUUAAUUAAGAGAUGAUCAGUAGAUCACUCAAAACAUUGCCUAUAUUUUGACCUUGGUUAUUACAGUCCACAAGACCUCACACAGCUGCCUCAGAUCCGCGCGCCAACAGACCUCACAUCGAGGCAUUGCCGCUCCAUGGUGCAUCAGCUAGCGCCGCCGGUCACCGCGGCUCAGCCAUACACGCCGCACCCCGCCUUCUCCGCCUGCUACGCAGGCCACACCUUGCCUAGCCACGGGCUGCCGCGGCGUCGACGCCUCAGCCUAGCCCUAGCGCGCAGGUUAGCAACGUGUUGGCAGCGACGGUGGCCUCCCCAGCUUCGCGCCCCAUCCGCCACGGCUCCCCACGACCAGAAAAGCAGCAACAUUCAUUAAGUAAACUUAAAGUUAGUGCAGGGAGAGGGACCAUACCUUCAAGGUUGAUCUCCAUAUUUGUGCUGUGAGCUUCAAGUUGGUAAUGACAACAGCCUUCGUGAAAUGUGUCAAUGCUGCCAAAGAUAACAUAAUCACCAAGCUGCUAUACCAACGAUGUGUAAAAAAAUGUUCUCCGAACUAUCUAGACACAGAAACAACAAUAGCUACUGAAACACUGAAACUGAAACUAAGAAUAAGUGCUACUGUCGAACACUGUCAGAGCAAGAGAGUUAAUCAACUCAAAGUUUCAAUUGCAGCACAGAAUCACUAAAUUAAUAAGGUAAUGCAAAUUAAAAUAUGCAAAUGAUUACUUGGAGAAUAAUGACAGUAGCAAGAAAGUCUGAACCUUUGGUGAAAAGGUGCUACAAAUUACCUGCUUGCCUGAUGGACUGCUUCUUUCUCCCAUCAUUGCUCCCUGCCGAGGUGACCAGGACAUGCUGCAAAUGGAUUAAUGUGCUGCUGAACGGAACAAGUUACACAACUGUUAAACUUAAGAACUACUACAACAUAUCCAGAGAAUAAAUUAGACAAGAUAUUCAGGGAAGCACAAGUUGCAUCAGCAAGCACCGAAGAAAAGAAUACCUGUACCUGAUCGCUGAUCCACUGUCAAGAAGAAAAGGCGCCAUCCCCUGGCCCAUAAGCCAUCGUUUGGAUCUCCAGUGCUCCUCGUCCUCCAUGGCCACGCCCCCGGUGUGUAUAUAUGGCCAUCGGGCCGUGCCGGCCCGACAUGCCACCGGGCCACAUCGGGCCACCGGGCCUCACGGGCCAUGCCUGUGGCGUGCCCGUGCCGCGCCUACGGCCCAAGGCACGGUCCGUGGGCCGUUUUGUCGGGCCGUGCCGCCCGGUGAGCCCGGCAAAAUCCACCGGACCGUGCCGGCCCACAGCCCGAAGAACAUACUGGAAUGCUGCCUUCUCAUUCAUCAGUGAUUAGCUAACACACAAAAGAAUACAGGAUUUCCAGAUUCACAGAUCAAAGAACAUGACAGAUUAAAGAGAUAAAAUAAUUAACUUUACUGAGCUGUUUUGUGCAAUGCUGCCUCAUUAAAAACCUUGCUAGGUAAAACUCACCCUUGUGAGAAACCCUAGCAAGGGAAAAAGAGUGCAGCUAGCUCCAAAAUGUGAAGUGUUCAGGACUUUAGGCUAUCCUAUUACAAAAUGCCAACUGCCAACUCAAUGUUUCAAGACUCCAUGUCUAUCACUCAUUCACUCUAUCCUAUUAGGCUAUUACAAGAUCAACUCAAUGUGACCAACAAUCUCAGACUUGAAGUUGAAGUUGCAGUGCAGACACCACACCAGACAGCCAGACUUCAAAAGAGCAGACCAAAAGCUCCUGCUGUCCUGCACAAUGUAAACAGGUUCUUGUCAAAUUCUUACUCAUUCUAAUAAGCUAAAUAUCUAAUUGCAUCAAUCUAAAGUUCUAAACUGAUGUCAAAUUCUUACUCAUAUUCUAAACAAAUGUACUGCCGCUGCCGCUGCCAUUUCCGCUGCCGCUGCCGCUUCCUUGAGCUUGACCUUGUUCGUCCAGGUAGAGGUUCUUGAAUGCAUCUACCAGGUCAAAGUCUUCAGGUGUGUGCUGCUCCCUUGUUGCUCCUAGCUCCCAGUCCUUGAUGCAUGUGAGCAUUUCCACAUGCUCAGGCAACAAGCGACGGCGCCGAUCCUCUAGUAUCCUGGAGGUACAACUGAAACACGACUCGGAAGAAACAGUAGACACAGGGACAGACAUGAUAUCUCGAGCCAUAAUAGAUAGGAUUGGAUAGGUAAGCUUGUGAUCACGCCACCAAAGGAGUAUGUCAAAGGAUUCCUCAUAGCAUGUGACAGGGUCACUGUCUAGGUAAGCACUGAGCUCACUAACAGCAGAUGGAGUAGAAGAGGAUGUGGGGGAGCAGGCAGGAGAGUCACCAGGACCUCCAAAGAUCCUUCCCCAUGCCUGUUUUCGCUUACCAGCAUGAGCUGAAGGGACUGCAGGCCUCUAAGACCUAGCUGCACCAAAUUUAUCUUCAUACUUGCCAAACAUUUUAAACAUUUCAUCUUUGACUUCACCAUAGUACAAACUAUAACUGCACCAAGUUGCCUUACCAAGCAGAUCAAGUACAUUAUAGAAACCUUUCAUCUUAGCUCUAGGAUCAAGAAUGAAUGCAUAUGAAUAAAUGAGUGGGAUUUUCUCCCAAUAUUUAAGGAACUUCAGUUUCAUAGGAGUAGCAAUGCUUCUGAAGCCUGUAUCUUUUUCAGCUUCUUGCAAAUGCUCAGCAAUGGCAAGCAAAUGGUGCAAAACAAGUGGAGCAGUUGGAUAAUAAACACCAGACAAAACAACAGUACAAUCAUAAAACAGUUCCAGGAAUGCCAUGAUUUGCUCAACAUUAUGCCAAUGUUGUGGAGUCAACAAAGUAGAACCAUAAUUAGAGUUAAUGAACACAUUGAAUACUUCCUUGUAUGGCAGCAAGUGCUUGAGCAUCAAGUAAGUAGAAUUCCAUCUAACAUCCAUAUCUAAGCCAAACUUUCUAGGUCUAAGACCUUGAGCAUUGCAGUAAUUCUUAAACAGAGCAAUUCUUUGAUUAGAGGAAUUUAAAAAGUUGAUUGCAGUUCUGAAAUCUUCAAGAUAAGUUUUUACUCUCUUGAAGCUAGUUUUAACAAUCAAGUUAAUGAUGUGGCAUGCACAGCGUUGAUGCACAAGCAAGUAUUUCACUUUGUUUGGAUUCUCUCUUGUAGGUGCAGGUUAAGAACCCAAAUAACCAAAGAAAACAGGUUGCAGAAUCUCAUGAGCUCUAGUAUUAGCAGAAGCAUUGUCAAGAGACACAGAAAAAAUCUUAUCCAUCAAACCAAACUCAUCAACAACACUAGCAAUCCUAUCAGCAAUAUUUUCACCAGAAUGUUUAACCUCAAUCAAACGAAAACAAACAACUUUCUUUUGUAACUCCCAGUCUUUACUAACAUAAUGAGCAACAACAGAAAUGUAAUCCUCCUUGGCAUUACCAGACCAAAUAUCACAUGUCAAUGAAACAGAGGAUGCAGCAGGCAACACAUUUUUCAUAAGCAAAGUACGCUCUUCAUCAAAGAGUUUAGACAUAUCUCUAGUGGUGGUCUGCCUAGAAACCUUCUCAAAUAGAGGAUUAUGAGCACGUCUUAUAUAAUCCUCCCAAGCCUGUGUCUCACCUAUCCCUAAAGGAAGGUCUAACCUAGCAAUCAAACGACACAACUCAAUGCGAGCAACCAUAGGAUCAUAAACCCAGUUUUUCAAACCAUCAGGAUUUAGAGCAAGUUUAGACUGGGUCAUUUUAGCAUGAUUCUGUUUUUUCAUACAGGAUCUCAUGUGUCGUCUCAAAUGACCAGUACCAUUACCAGAUCUAGCAGUGUACUUCGAACGACAAUGCUUACAUAUUGCAGCAAUUCUAAUCUUGCGGCAUAUGCAUGGAGUAUUAAAUUUAGAUGAAAACAAAAACUAAUACACAGUAUGCCUAUAAAUCACGAGAUGAAUCUUUUGACUCUAAUUAGUCUAUGAUUGGAUAAUAUUUGCCACAAACAAACGAAAGUGCUACAGUACCCAAAAUCCAAAAUUUUUGCCAACUAAACAAGGCCGAUGAGGGCCUUGUUUAGUUCAAAAAAAAUUUGGAUUUCGGUACUAUAGUAUUUUGAUUUUUAUUUUGACAAACAUUGUCCAAUCUUGGACUAACUAGGCUCAAAAGAUUCAUCUCGUGAUUUACAGACAAACUGUGCAAUUGGUUUUUGUUUUUGUCUAUAUUUAAUACUUCAUGCAUAUACCGCAAGAUUCGAUGUGAUAGGAAAUCUUGAAAAGUUUUUGGUUUUUAUGGUGAACUAAACAAGGCUAAGGUUUUGUUUCCGAGUCACUAAGGCCUUGUUUAGUUGGGUAAAAAUUUUGGCUUUGGAUACUGUAUCACUUUAUUUUGUAUUUGACAAACAUUAUUCAAUCAUAGACUAACUAGGCUCAAAAGAGACAUGUCACAUAAUUCGCAUUACUGACGUGGCAAUGUUCUUUGCAAAUUAUCUAAAAAUAAUUCAAUAAAUAUUCUAUGAUAUAUAAAUAUACCUUAUGACAUAUCAAAUAUCGUCACUACAUGUUGUGACAUACAAAUAGACCUUAUGGCAUAUCAAAUAUCGUCACUAGAUGAAACUGGAUUAGUUAUAUGACAUUUGUUGUGACAUACAAUUUUUUUUAUCAUUAAGUCAAGGUGUCUAAAAUAUAAUACCAUAAAACAGAUAAUAUAAUGACAUUAUGGAAUUUGUCAUGCUAAAUACGUCAAAAAACCACCCACCUCUUGUAGUGUGUAGACGUGGUGUCUAGACUAAGUCUGCCCUUGUGGACUUCUUGUCACACCUGAACAACGCCAACAGCGAAGCGUGACAAGCCUCUGCUGGACAUUAGGAGUUCUCUUCAGUGUGUUGUUAGGCAAGUUGCAAAUAAUAGUUGGCCUCCAUGGUAGCUGCCUAGGGAAGUGUUUCGCCACACCCUUUUCACCUAUCAGCCACAGUAGGAAGGGAGUAAACUCUCAAGUAUACUUAGGAUAGCUUAGACAGAAGCCAAAUACUAGAAAUACCUCUCCACCCAAUCCUGAGCUAUUUGAUCAUCAUCCGACGACUCAAUUGGUCUAGUUAAUCCACUUCUCGUUCCCUGUGAAAAAUACGAUACCUGGAAUACUCGUGGUGAAGUGUUGCAUUGAUCACCGUCCGCUUGCAGUAAAACCAUUUGCCACUUCUGGUGUCACACAAGCACUUCUAGUGUUGUGUGAAGGACUAACAAUCCUAGGUAGUGACGCUAAGAAGAAUCAACACAGCCUCAGGCGCGACAAAGACAAGCUUAAAGCAGAGGUUGCAGCCCUCUAAGAAGUAAUUCAGGGCCUCAACAAUGAAGGGCAGCCUUAGUUGUCUAGUUAUCUAUAAAUAAGGCACAAUUCUGCUAGGUUUGGUUAGUUAAUUAGGUCAGUCGAGUUAUAAACUUUUCUUAGGACAAAGCCUAAUGAGCUAGAGCAAUCGUUAGCUCAGUCGUUAAAGUGUCUGUCAAGUUAUAUAUUAUCACCGCCAUAAAUAAAUAAAGUGCCUUAUCUUUUAUCUACUCUACUCUCUAUUUUUUAGUAUGUGUUUGUCUCCACAUGUUGCGUAGAAAAGUAUACAGGAAAACAAGUGUGGGGGAGGCACACUGCAAUCACGAAAUGAAAAAUUCGACCGAAAAAAUAGUGUAAUUCACAACACAAUCGAACCAAGACCGCGCACAGCAAAGCGGGCCUCACAUUGCCCACUAGUGGGGUCGGGCGACGCCUAAGUGGGGCUGGGCGGCGCCUAAGUGGGGCCGAGCGGUGCCCUGCUCGCCCGCCUUCCCCCUCGCUUCGGUCACGGUCAGGUUUGAGUUAAUUACAGUAUAAUUGCAUACAUCUCACUUUGAAUUGUCAUCUGAAUCAUAAAUCUUUAUAUUUUUAACAAAUAAUAAACACCAUUUAAUCUAUGACUUCAAAAAUAAAGUAUAUAACACUUUUCUAGAGUCAUGAUAAUUGUGAAAUUUAUAGUACUUCAUGAUUGCUUAAGUUAUUGUGGGAAGAAAGAUAGCAAAAUAAUGAGUACUAAAUUCCUGAUAAUCUGUCUUUGGAGAUUUUAUUUCAAAAGGGUAAAAACAAUUAGCUUCGCCUCUCUUUGUAGUGGAAUCAAAUAAUAACCAUAUCAUUCAACUGUUAAUUAUUAUGGCUUUGGUUGAGAGAUUUAUCAUAUUCCUAGUAUCAUAACAUAAAAUGAAAUAAAAAUAUAAUACACUCUCUUGAAGCAUUAUUGUAAAGGAGGCAUGAGCUAUUCAUAAAGAAGUUCAAGGAAAUAAAAUGGGACAAGUGUCCAAAACCUCAAAAACAUAGAUCACGAGGAAAUAAAAUGGGACAAAUGUCCAAAACAUCGAUUCAAUAAGAAAAGAAAUAUGAGCAUGUGCUCAUAAGUAGAAUUAGAGAGCUCAUGGUCCCUCCAACAUAAUAUGCCAAGGAGCGGAUGAUUUUUUUGAUCUAAGAAUAUGAUAGUUCUCUCCCGGGGUAUGAAUAUCAAAUUAAUUCACAACUGUAGAUGCCACUACAAAUAAGAGAAGGUCAAAGCUAUGUUUUAUUUGCAAACUCCACUUACUCUCCAAUAGACAUAAUUAAAGGAAGAGAGUAAUCUGUUUUAAGCUAUCCUACUCCGCAAUCACUACAACAUUCAUGAUGAACACUUUAAUAUUCCAGAAUGCAUGGUAGCUAGACUAGUUUUAUAUAAUUUAAUUUCCAAGUUAUCCAUUAAAUGAUUAUUCUUUAUGAUAAGAACCAACCUUUUUCUCGGGACGAGUAAAAACCUAAGUGUGGGGUUAAUUGUUGACACCUGUUAACCCACAAUAUUUAUUAGCAAUUAUCUCUCCACCAUAUAUGAAUAUCUACUAGAAUAGGGUUAUCACUAACAAUUUUCAUGAGUUUUAGUGAUUUGUGUAUUUUUCAGGGAAGUAUCUAGAAAAGCCUAAAAAGAGGGAUUUAAGUGCUAAUCUGCCAUAAAACUUAUCCACGACAGAAGAUGACACUAGAGGGAUCAGGAAUACUCCAGAAGACACCCGAAGCAACAGGGGGGCCAGCAGCCGCCAAGUGGGCCGGGUGGCCCCAACCUUGCGACGGGUGGCCCCUAGGGUUAGGGUUGGCCGCCCCCCUUCUAGAGUCUUCCUCCACCGCCUCCGAGGAGCCAUCUUGGCCACUUGCUACGUCGGUUUGAUCCAAUGGCACGUAUCCAUCCCACCGGGCUAUAAAUAGAGGGCUAGACCCUCUAGAGGAGGCGAGAUCAAGAGAUGAAAAGUUAGAGCAUUAGAUAGAGAUCAACUAGAUCUAGGCUAGCAAUCAAGAUAGAGAUUAGAGUGAUAGAGUAGAGGAGUAGAGAUUCGGAGGAGUCCCGGCCUGUUGGAGCUUCCUUCGGAGCUAUAUUCAUCUAGAUUCGACUCCCUUGCCCGGAGCUACGUUCUGAGGUACUUUUGUAUUUACCAUUCUGAUUCAAAUAAACAACUUAUUUUUAUUUGUUCUUUGGUUUGCAACUCAUAUUAUAUUGAGUACUUCGAUUUGGGUAGCUCCUAGGUCGGAGUAGUGAUUCGUACCAUAGAUGUGGUAUCUAGGCUAUGGUUGCUUGUGAAUGUUCCCUGAUCAGCUAGACUGUGGUAGCUCGCGUAGGUGACUUUAUAGCUACGUUGAAUCCUCUGUAGUCCACUUCUCGUUGAUUGGAUGGAUAGGCUUAUAGGUGCCUAGUAGGAUAUUACUCUAUUUCUUCUCCUAUUCGGGUUACUUGUCCGAUAAGAUGAUAUUAUACAAAGUUUACCAGUUAUUAGAACAAUAGUACAUUAGCUAUUUCCUCAUUCUCAAUAGUUUUCUAGAUUGAUUGUACCCCCUUAGAUUAAGAGUUAUAGGCUAGGUCAUAAAUCACCUACUGUUCCUUUGGGUUCGAUAUUGAAACUGGGUUGAUCUUGGUGAAGUGCUGCUCAGUAUAUAUCUAUGCGCUUGCGAAAAAUCUGAUUAUAAUUAUUAUUUAGGGUGCAAUUAUUUUAUACCAACAAUGCACAAAGGAAACUUUAGGGUAUUAUGUCUAUAACUGGAUAGAGGGCAAAGUGUUUGUUACUCAAAACAGUGUUUUCUUAGAGAAAGAGUUUCUCAAAAGGGAGAAAAAUGGAUAGAAGGUUUAUCUUGAAGAAGUUCAAGAUGAACCAGUUGGGAAUGACUCUACAAGUGAUGUUAAUAUAGCAGAAUAAGUUGAGACACCCGUGGUAGUGGAAACACCACCACAAUCACGAAUAUCAACAAUACUUUGCAAAUUCAAUGGGGAAUUGUUAUUGUUAGACGAUGACGAACCUGCAAAUUAUGCAGAAGCAAUGAUGGACCUAGAUUCCGAGAAAUGGCAAAGUACCAUGAGAUCCGAGAUAGAUUCCAUGGGAGAAAAUCAAGUUUGGAACUUAGUUGAUACGCUUGAUAGGGUUAGACACAUAAAGUGCAAAUGGAUCUAUAAAAAAGGAUAUGGAUAGAAAUGUUCACGUCUAUAAAGCUUGACUUCUCGCAAAGGGUUUUAGGCAAGUUUAAGGAAUUGACUACAACUAGACUUUCUCACCAGUAGCGAUGCUUAAAUCUAUCCAAAUCAUUCUAGCAAUCGCUACAUAUUUUGAUUAUGAGAUAUGGCAGAUGGAUGUUAAAAUAACCUUUCUAAAUGGAAAUUUGGAAGAGGACAUGUAUAUGAUACGACCCGAAGGUUUUAUUGAUCCUAAUAAUGCUGGAAAAUUAUGCAAGCUUAAGAAUUCCAUUUAUGGAUUAAAGCAAGCAUCUUAGUGUUGGAAUAUUCAUUUUGAUGAAGUGGUCAAAGGAUUUGGCUUUCAUUAGAAUAAAGAAGAACCUUAUGUUUACAAGAAGUAAAGUGGGAGCACUAUUGUAUUUUUAAUCUUAUAUGUGGAUGACAUAUUAUUGAUUGGGAAUGUCAUUCCAAUGUUGCAAUCAAUAAAGACUUCACUGAAUAAUAGUUUUUCUAUGAAGGAUUUAGGAGAAGCAGUAUACAUUUUGGGCAUUAAGAUCUAUAGAGAUAGGUUCAAAAGGCUAAUAGGAUUAAGCCAAGAUACGUACAUGGACAUGGUGUUGAAACGGUUCAACAUGGAACAUUCUAAAAGAGGGUUAUUGCCUAUGUCACAUGGUAUGUGUUUUAGUGAUAAACAGUGUCCUUCAUCAGAUGAAGAGCACAAACACAUGAGUAAGGUUCCAUACACUAUCAUGUAUGGCAUGAUAUGUACUCGCCUAGAUGUCUCAUAUGCUCUAAGGGUUGCGAGCAGGUACCAAGCUAAUCUAGGUGAAAGUCACUAGACACUUGUUAAAACCAUUCUUAAGUACUUGAGAAGGACUAAAGAUGUGUUCCUAAUCUAUGGAGGUGAGGAGGAGCUCAUUGUAAAUGGUUGCACUAAUGCUAGCUUCCAAACUGACAUAGAUGAUUCACACUCUCAAUCAGGUUUUGUGUUCACAAUAAAUGGUGGUGCAGUCAGCUGAAAAAGUUCCAAGGAGGCGACAGUGGCCGAUUCUACAAUAGAGGCCGAGUACAUUGCAACUUCUGAAUCUGUGAAGGUGUUUGGAUGAGGAGGUUCAUCAUUGAACUUGGUGUUUUUCAAAAUGCGUCGAGCUCAUUGAAUCUAUAAUGUGACAACAAUGGGGUGAUUGUGCAGGCUAAGGAGCCUAGGAGUCACCAAAUGAAGAAACAUGUGCUACAGAAGUUUCACCUCAUUCGAGAGUUCGUUAGGCGAGGUGAAAUUAAGAUGUGCAAAAUACAUACGAAUUUGAAUAUUGCAGAUCCUUUGACAAAGGCUCUUCCACAGCCUAAGCAUGAGGCACACCUGAGGUCUAUGUGUAUUAGAUAUCUUAGAGAUUAACUCUAGUGCAAGUGGGAGACUAUUGGGAAUAUGCCAUAGAGGUAAUCAUAGAGAUGAUGAUAUUACAAUUGUAUCCAUGACAUAUAUUAUGAGUUCGAUGAAUAUCUAUUAUAGACAAACUUGUAUCGAUUGAUAAUUAUGUGAAUUAUUUGUGAAAUUCUUUAACUUGUAUGGUUAUUCUAAAGUUAUCCCUAAUUAGAGUUCGUGGAUCAACAAAUGCAUGGUCGUGCUUGGGUUAAGUGUUAACCCACGAGUUGGAACAAAUAUCGUGUGGCAAGGGAAUAACAUGUAUGUGUUUGCAGUGUUUCAUUUGAUAUGAUCUUUACGUGCGUGUAGGAGUUGUCACACCUUGCUAGAGGCCGCUGUAGGGUCGCACGCUUAAGGGGGUAGAAGCCUAAUUCGGGUUGGACCCAAAUUAGACAAGGCUUAGGGUUUUCUAAUUGGGCCUCCAGCUCAGGGCUGAUUAGGGGGCGCCUAUAUAAGAGAGGGAGGGGGCACGGCCAGGGUGAUCUCACGCUAUUAGGUAGCCAACGCCGCUCACCCACGCUCACGCCUAUUACUGCUCGCAGACCUAGCAGUCCGGAGGCAUGACGCUUCUUCGUCACACGUGUGGGAUAUCUCGGAGGUGCUACAUAUGGAGCACAAGACGAACCGUGCAAGAGGCAUUGACGUGGUGGACGACCACACAACUGCAUGGCACUAUUACUAUGCGCAUGAAUACAUCGAGUCGCUUUUGCUGCACCUGCGCGUCUAGUAGUAAACCCGUGAUCUAUAACUAGCAGUUGAUCAUGUUUUAUGAGUUUGAAAUUUUUGUUUCCUAGCUAGCGUAGCGUCCUCAUAAUCCGAUAGCUUUAGCACGGAGAGUUAGAAUCAUAUUCGAAUAGAACGCAUAGACACCUGGUUCUGGUUGAGGUCGAAUCAAAAAGUCUCUGGUGUGUUGAACACGAACUCUAUUAUUUUAUUUUUAUUUACAUUAGAGAUCCUUGUUGAAACUGCAAUUCAAAGUUCCCAUUGUGGACUCCUGACCUCACUGUGAGAAAUGGAGCUCCUGAUCACGCUGGAAUCGAACAAGGUAUGGUUCCCAUUGCUAUUACUCCAGAUUUUUUCACAUGUUAUUUUUUCCUCUUCUUUAAAUUACAAUAUGAAGGAAAGUAACCCCACUGAUCCUUAUGUUACUCACCUAAUGAGGGUAGCACUAGGGGUUACUUGAACAAUGGUACAAUUGAUGGCUAGGAUACUGAGAAGAGUAGUGCCGAGGAAUUUUAAACAUCUCUUGCUUGGGACAAAUUUGUUAAUCUGAAAGGACAGACCCAGUGGCUGAAGCUCCUAAAUGAGUGGGGUCUGGGGAAAUGAAAAAAUAGAGGCAAGCCUUUCCCUCGCAAAAUCUGCGAAGUGGAUGCUUCGAACUUACGACCAAGUGACUCAAUGAGACAGCUCCCACGACAAAUUUGUUAAUCUGAGCACUACAUAAUUCAUUAGCAGCAUGGAAAUAGAAAUCUACCACAACUGCAGUAAUAGCAUGGCGGGGUCAUUAGAGAUAGACUUCAGUAAAUUGUGUCAUUCUUGAACUCCAUGGUAACUGAACCGCAAAAACAAUUGAUAGUUCUUGAACUCCAUGCUAACUGACUAUUAUGAGAUGUUUUUUACAAGUGGCAAAAGCAACUAAUAAUUUGUGUACUUCCUAAACUUCAUGGUAAUUGCAUCUUUGCACAAUCUAAAUUAUAGUUUGGACAAUAUGAAUAUGGAAUGUUAAUUUGAACAAAAUAUAUUGGACUGUAAUUUAUUUUUUGAUGUCUUUACAGAAAAUGGAUAAUAGUGUCGGGCAACUCCACCUAGAAGAUGACACAUAUGUUCUUGAGCCACUCCUCCGAUGCAUCAUGCCUGCCUCUACCUGCAAUGAGCACGAACACAAUGUAGCUGCCGCCACUGCCAUAGUUGUGGUCCAUGGCGCCACUAGACACCUAGGUGUAGCAAGUUGGUAUCAGAAUUGAAUUGAAAUAGAAGCAUAGAAUCAAAAGACACCAGCUUGAUCAGAAAAUUCCCUAGUAUGUUCAACAUGAACUCAUUUUUGGGCCCCCUUUUCCUAUUUGUAUUAGAGAUCUUUGUUGAAACUAAUAUUGAAAGUUGCUAUUGUGAACUCCUGGUCUUACAGAAUAUGAAUCCUAGCCUAGACAGGCCCAAUGAGGCUCUUGAUCUCGCUAGACAUGGACAAGCAAGGUCGGCUUCCUGUUGUUACACUAGGUUUCUUUCAUCGCUACUCUUAUCCUUUAAUUUUAAAAUUUCUAUAAAAUGUGUAAUGGUCCUUUAAAUUAUGUAAUUACAGCUUGUGAUGAUAUGGUGAGUCUAAAGUUGUGCCUUUAUCCCUUAGACAGAUGGGCGUAUAAGAGAGCAAUCAUAUAUUGAGGUUUAAAUAUAGGUAUAAUAAUAGUACAUUGCACGAAUCAUUAAUUGUGCAAAUGAGGAGUUUUUCAUUCUGUUCCCAACUUUUUGACCGCAACGGUGGGGGAGUCCCCUACCUUUUUUUAUUAUUUCAAUUGAAUAAAAGAAUCACUACGAAGGAAAGAGGAAAAAAAUACAAGGCGACAAGCCCAAAAAGAAAGAAAGAAUAAAAAUUACAAGUAGGACUUUUUCCAACUUUGAAGAGCAACGCUUUUUUAGGGCUUGCCUUAGUACAAACCAUUCCAAGUUCAACUUUGAAUUGUCUCUUCUAGAGCUGCAGGUUUCUCUGACUAUUAUCAAAGAUAUUGUUUCUUGUAUUCCAAAUAAUCCAGCAGGCCAUGAUGAAAAUUUCUCUGAAGAUAGCAUUACCAAAGUCUGCCCUUGCUUGGAGGAUCAUGUCUAGAGUGCUGAUAUUUUGUUUCCAAUUGAUAGGAAUGGAUGCCCAGCAGUCCUUGCUGAAUCUGCAUUCGAAGAACAGAUGGAAACUAGUUUCUUCACAGCCUUGACUACAGAGUACACAACUGUAAUCCUCCAGAUGCAUGUGUUUUCCUCUUAAGAGGUUUUUGGUGUUCAGUCGAUCCCUUAGAAGGAGCCAGAAGAAGAAUUUAUGAUUCCCUAGGUUGCUUGAUUUCCAUAACCACUUAAAGAGUGGGGAGGCUAGGGAGGAGUCAAUGAAAGUAGUAUAGGCUUUUUUGCUGCUAUAGUUUGAAGUACCCCAAGAGUAUAUCCAUGUAUCACACAAGGUUUCAUCCCACAUUCUGCUCUGAAUAAUUUCAUGUAGAUCAUCAAGCUAUGUAGCAGCAAUUUGGGGCAAAGGGAGGGGACUAAAAAUUCUGUCCACUUGUUGAUUCAGGAAGAAUCUAAUGGAGCAUUUGGGCUUUCUAGUGAAGGAAAAAAGCUAGGGGAAUUUAUCUUUCAAAGAUUGAUCUAUCCAAAUGUCUGUCCAGAAAAGAGCAGAUUACCUCUAUUGGGUGCACAGGUGGUAAUACCUUAGAAAAUUGGGAAGAGUUUCAUGAUAACUUUCCACCAGAAAGAACCAACAGGGCUCCUUGCAUGAGGAAGGGUGUGGUCAUUAGAGUAUAGCUUGUUCCAUGUUAGGUUGACCCAUGGCAUGUCUGUAUUAUUGUAGAAUUUGUCCAAAAAUUCUAGUAGUAAAGCAUCACUCUAUUUUUGGAUGUCAAUAAUUCCUAAUCCACCCUAACCUUUGGGUUUGCAGGCGGUCUCCUAGGCAACUAGGCAUUUACCUCUUCUGUUGAUAUCUCAUUUGUCCCAAAGGCAGUGUUUCCUAUAAGUGUCAAUUUGCUUAGUGAUUUGCGGUGGAAGUUUUAGGGUACACUUGUAGAAAGUUGGGAGAGCUGAGAAAACUGAGUUGCUAGGAUAAGUCUUCCAUUGUAGGAAAGGAAUUUGCUAAUUCCAGAUAGUCUUCUUUCCAUUCUGGUGAUCAGAGGUGCAAAUUAUGUGAUAGAAGGCUUUGUUGUACCAAGUAGCAAUCCCAAAUAUGUGAAGGGCAUUUCUCCAACCUGACAUCCAAAUGUAUUAACAAGAUGUGUGGCACUGUCAUUCCCCAUGUUAAUUGGUACUAAAAAGGAUUUGUUGAAGUUGACAUGGAGUCCAGUUGAGUCAGAGAAGGAUCUUAGCAACCCUUUCAGAUUAAAGAGUACUCUAGCAUCAUUAGAGAGGAUUAGAAGUGUGUCAUUAGCAUAUUGCUGUUGACACCGUUUUUGGACACGUAUCAGGAAAGGUAAUGAAGCUUGGAUCGGCAGCUAGAAAAGUGACAAUGACCGAUAAAGAAGUUGCCGAUGACCUAUGAUACCGAUGAGAGAAGGAAGAUAUGGUUAAGUCCAGGAACAGUGGAUGAUCGGUGUCGAUGGUUGAUGGUGACGGUUGCCGAUGCCAAUGAAGAAUGAUUUGCCGAUGAUGGUGAAGGAAGACGUGGGAAUCAUUGGGAGGGGACAAUGGUGGUGUGCCGAUCAUCCAGGAUAGAUAAAUUGUUGUUUUCCAUAAUUGUUAGAGUUUAUUUUAUGCACGAGUUCUGUUUAAUUUGGAAUUAGAAUCCUAGUCGUACCUGGUUGUAACUCUUUAGGACAGAGUAUAGAUAUAGGCCUAGUAGCGAUGUAAGAGCAGAUCCAAUCAAUGCUAUACACAACUUUUACAUCUACUUUUGCAUCUACUUUUCGACGACUUCGUCAAUUCGCAUAUUUUCUUUUACUUACGAGUUCUUAAGAAUUCUUUGAGUUAUACUCGAUGAGUUCUCGAGUUCCGCGUGAAUACCUCUUGGCCGUGGCAUCCGGGCGUAUCGCUGUUGUCGGGACCAAAGUAUUCGAGUUACCACCUUUGUCUGUUGAAAGGUCAAAUCGGCUGGCACACCUUAACUUUGAAUCGGGUAUUAGCCCUUUGUGUUUGCAUAUUCACUUUUGCACCAACAAUUGCAUAAUGGGAUAAUCCUCCUAGAAGCUGUCACUAAUGGGGUGUAUAAGAAUGCUAGCAUGCCAUGCUCUAUUCGCAAUAGUUUGUAGCAGAUCUAUAGCUAGGACAAAAAGAAGAGGGGACACUACUAAAUUUUGACCCUAUUGCAUCACGUCCCCUUGCAUCAAACUCAAAUCUGUAUGCAAUAGGUGGUUGCUAUUGCAUCAGUUAUUUAAAUCUGAUGCAAUAGGUGGUUGUUAUUGCAUCCAAAAAGAGGUUGAUGCGAUAGUAAUUCAUGUCGAUGCAAUAGGUAUGAUCUAUUGCAUCAUUUAGGACAAGGGAUGCCAUAGAUAGAAAUUAUUGCAUCAGACACAUUUGGUUGCCUUAGUAUUGAAUUUUUGAUGCAAUAUGCAGGUGGUAUUGCACCGGUUUAGAAUAUGAAUGCAAUUAGGAAGUACUAUUGCAACAGAUUUGUGUUUGAUGCAACCGAAAUUUUUUGAAAGAGAAUUUAGUAAUGUCAAAACACUUUGUGGUGAAUUGUUAAUUUUUUAAAAUGUGACGCGUCUAAUAAGUAAAUUGUUAAUUAUUUAUGAAAAAUAAGUUACACCUAAUAAUUGAAUUGUUAAUUUUAAGAAAAUAUUCAAAAAAAUAACUAGUAUAAGGGGCUGGGUAGAGGAGUCGAACCUAUACCCCUAGGACAAUCUAGGUCCUAGACAAACCACCAGACUAGUUAUACACUGUUGUAUGGACUAGUAUAUUUUUUCUUUUAUACUAUUAUCUAAUAUGUCAAUAUGGAGACAAUAAAGGGGCGCCCAUCUGACUAUGUGACAAUUAUAUAUAUGGUUAGUUGAUUUGCAAGGCUGCCGCAAUAUUACAUUAGUGGCAUCUUUCUUGUUAAUAUCUUUGGUGUCCAAGAUUGGGUCGUUGCUCAUCUAUAGCUAGGAGAUAGACACGGUAGCCAUUUAGGAUUUGUUGUAAACGGCGACAAAAAAUUCUUGAACACAUACGCAAGAAGAUUGGGCCACGUUGUUUCUUUGCUGAGCACGAGCACGCAGGCAAGCCGUAUUGGGCUCAGACGCACGACUUGGAGUCUUAGGGAGGCACGCACUCCCUGUCGAGCCGCCACUUGAGGAACUCUAGAUGGUGAUCCCAUCAGGUUCUCCAAACUGAAGAUUAUCUUCGGAUCUUUUGUGGAUUUGUGUUGGUGUGUGACCGGGAAUUCAUUUUCUCAGUCACACAUUGGUUUCAGUUGGAAUUGUCUCUCUGGGUCGUGCCCUAGUUGAGCACGGGUUGGAGAACGUCUGCUACUCGGAAUCUUGGAUUAUACAUCUGAUCCUAAUUGUAAGCCGAGUAAUCAUCUAUCUAAUAUUGCUACUGCCCUGCGUGUUAGCCAUCAAUAUUAUAUCAAUUUCAUUGUUACUAGGCGUCACUUGAUUGAUCACGUAAUAUUGAUUGGUUCCCGUACUGUUGUACCUCUGUCCGAAUAUUAUCAUAUAUUGCUACGCUCUUUUGCUUGAUUCUUCCUGUAAUUAAAUAAUAGUUCCAUUGAUUCAUCGUCGUGGUGCAUCUUUAUAUUGGCCAUCUAGUUGUUUACUGUUGUACCUCCGUUACAGCUUGCUCUAUUGCUUGAUUCUUCCUGGAAUCAAAUAAUAGUUCCAUUAAUUCAUCGUCGUGGUGCAUCUUCAUAUUGAUCAUCUAGUUGUUUACUGCACAUCGUAGGCGUGUCCUUGUGACAUACUAUAUUUCAAUUAUCGGCAGCGUGUUCUUAUUUAUCUUUGUGUGUGCUUGUCAGGUGUUCAAAUCAAUGUCAUGCCAAGGUAGAAGUUGGAUGCGGCUGGAUAGGGCAUCUGCAGAGUGGCAACAAGGAUUAACAGACUAUCUUGAUAGCACCUUUGGAGGCAGCUCUAAAGGAGGAACGACACCAUGUCCAUGUUCAACAUGUCGUUGUGUGUCAUUUAGAAAACAGUCAGAUGUUCAGAAUCAUUUGCUGCGGAAAGGUUUUGAUGAAAGCUUCAUCCGAGAGCAGGAAAGUAUAUGUGAAGGUUCAGCUAUUGAUGAUGAUGAUGUGGAUGACAGGGCUGCUACCAUAGAAUUGGUACAGUCUUUGAUUAGGGGUACUAUAUGUGGAGAAAUCGAUGAGGAACAACCAAAUGAGAUGGCAAAAAAGUUUUUUAAAUUGCUAGAAGAGGCCCAGAAGGAGUUGUUUCCAGGCUGCACGGAAGCUACCCAGGUGUCUUUCAUUGUCAAAAUAUUUCAGAUGAAGUGCAUGUUUGGUUGUACUAAUGCUUGCAUGGAGUACGUACUUUCGCUGUUCUUGCUUGUUCUUCCUAAAGGACACUGCCUCCCAGAUAGUAUGGAGAAGAUCAAAAAGAUUCUUAGAGAUCUUGGUCUAAAUUAUGAAAAGAUAGAUGCAUGCUAUAAUGAUUGUGUGUUAUUUAGAGGGAAAAAUUAUGAGGGCAUGGAUCAUUGCCCAAAAUAUGGUGAGACAAGGUGGAAGGAGUCUAAAGAGGUACAGGAUGUUGGCAGCAGUUCUGGCUCAAAAAAGCGUGUUCCACGUAAAAUCCUACGGUACUUCCCACUGAUUCCACGGCUCCAAAAGAUAUACAUGUCAGAGACUAGAGCAUCAUAUAUGCGUUGGCAUAAGGAAGAAUUGGUGGUUGAUGGAAAAAUGCGACAUCCUGCGGACUCCAAAGCAUGGAAACAUGUGGAUGCAACCUAUAAAUGGUUUGCAAAGGAUCCUCGUAAUGUUAGGCUUGGUCUGGCAUCUGAUGGAUUCAAUCCGUUUGGUAUGUUGAAUGUGUCAUAUAGUUGUUGGCCUGUGAUUUUAAUUCCUUACAAUCUUCCGCCGUGGUUGUGUUUGAAACAGCCAUAUUGGAUGUUGUCGAUGAUGAUACCAGGAGCAAGAUCGCCUGGUGUUAGUAUUGAUGUGUACUUGCAGCCUCUAAUUGAUGAGCUCAAAGUUCUCAGGGAAGAGGGUGUCAAAGCCUGGGAUGCAAAGGAGAGGAAGCCUUUUGAUUUGCAUGCAAUUCUACUGUGGACAAUCAAUGACUUUCCAGCAUAUGCAUGCUUUCUGGAUGGAGUACGAAAGGCAAGUUUGCAUGUCCAUAUUGCCAUACAGAAACAAGCCACUUAUGGUUGAAGCAUGGGAAGAAGUUCUGCUACAUGGACCAUCGUCGCUUUUUGCCUAUGGACCACAAGUGGUGCAGAAACAAGGUCAGUUUCAACAACAAGACAGAAUAUAGGGAGGCUCCACAACCACUUACUGGAGAACAAGUGUUGCAACACUAUGAGAGUUUUGACCAAGUCACAUUUGGCCCUGAAUCAAGAAAAAGGAAGCACCGUGCUGAAGAAAAGAGAUGGCACAACUGGAGGAAGAAGAGUAUUUUCUUCGAGCUUCCGUACUGGCAAAAUUUGCUUAUUAGGCACAACUUGGAUGUGAUGCAUAUCGAGAAAAAUAUAUGUGAGAGCAUAUUGGGCACUUUGCUAGACAUAGAAGGUAAAAGUAAGGAUAAUCAAGAAGCUCGGCUUGACAUGCAGCAUCUCGGGAUAAGGAUGGAUCAACAUCCAGUGCAUGAGAAUGGUAAGUUUACCUUACCACCUGCUUUAUACAAAUUAGAGAAAGAUGACAAGAAACUUUUAUGCAAAAUUCUACAUGAAGUUAAGUUGCCUGAUGGGUACGCAUCCAAUAUCCAAAGAUGUGUGGAUGAAAAUCGGUGUCAGCUAUCUGGUCUAAAAACUCACGAUUAUCAUAUUAUAUUCCAAAAACUUUUACCAUUAGUACUACGCAACAUUCUGCCUCAAGAAGUUGUUGUCCCGUUGAUUGACUUGAGUAGGUCUAGAAUGUUGAUUGACUACGCAACAUUCUGCCUCAAGAUUAUCUCUCAAGAGUACGGGCAAUAUGGACUGGUACGGAGUUAUUAAGAAGAUUAUCUCUCUACAGUUCACUGGUGAAAAGGAAGCGAUGAUAUUUCAGUGUGAUUGGUUCGAUGUCCCCGCUCCAACAAAGAACAAAGGUAAAGGGUACAACAAAGAUCAGUAUGGAAUUAUAGAUAUUGAUACUAUCCGUCUCAGAUAUUUAGAUGAUCCAUAUAUUCUGGCGACACAAGCAGAGCAGGUGUUUUAUGUGAAACACGCAAAGAAAUUAAAUUGGUGCAGUGUUGUUCGAAUCAAACCGAGAAACCUUUUCUCCAUGCCAGACUCAGCUAGUGUUGAAGAGGAAUCAGAAAUUGAUGUUGACUCAAUGUUUGUUGGGGUGGAGGACAUGGCUGUUAGACAAGAUCAGGGGGACCUGACGAGUUGGCGACGAAUGAACAUCGAAGGGGAAGCAAUUGAUGCUUCUGUUAUUCAGAAAGCAAUUGCUCAAUCUGUACCAAAACCAAAUGAUGAAGAUUUUGGUGACGGGUGAAGAUGACGUAGACGCAUAUAUUGACGAUGGAGUUGUCGCACCAGCCGUUGCAACAGAUGACGAAGCUGAUGAUGAUUUUUUCGUUUAAGUAUUCACAAUUUUUCUUCAAUGAUGUUUGGAUGUUCUAAGUUAAUCAACAGCAUGCUUACGUUAAAACGUGCAUUUGUGUGUUUAUGACCAGCAACUAGCAGGUUUCAAUUUUUGUGAAGGGUUAUUUAGCUACUAGCAUGUCUAAAUUAAUAGCGUGGUAGAUGGAGAUCUCUCACAAUCAUGCUGUGUUGGGAGGUUUGGAACAAAACAAAUGUGCAAGAAACGGGAGAGAACCACUCCAUAAAUUAGGCUGCGUUUAUAUUUCUUAUUUUUGCUACUAUUGCGGUUAUAGUUAGCCUUGUAUCUCUCCAAUCAAAGGUCCAUCGUACCUUCUUAUCUUAAAUUUUAGCACCGGUGCGUUUUUGUCUCCAUGUUUCCAGAAAAUCUAGGACUCGAUGCACCCUCCGUCGCUUGAGUUGAUAUAUCAAAAUAUAUCAUCAAAAUUGAGGAUAAAAGUGCUUUCUAAGGAUAUCACACGGAUGUCCUUAAAGAAAGCGUCUUCUCUAAAAUGACAGAGAGAAUUGAGUUGGAAGCUUCUGUGAUUUCGAAAGAACAAGAAAGGCGCAUUCUUCAUGAAACCUACAAGGAAACCACUGGAUGCAAGAGCAAAAAAGGUCCUGGACAUGGAUACUUGGCAAAGUAUCUGACCCGAAGCCAACUUAUGAAUGAACAAAUUGAAGAGCAAACUCGUGCAUCUGCAUUAGCAGCAGCAGCCCAACAGAAGAAUAGUGAGAUGCAAGCUGAGGUAGAUAGCUUAAAAGAACAGCUUACCGUUCAAGCCGCUGAGAGAGUGAAAGACAAGGAACAAAUUGAGCAGCUGCAACAUCAACUGGAGAGUACAACUAGCAAGAUUAGAGAAGAACUAAGGCAAGAGCUUUUUUCACUAAUCAAACAACAAAAUCAAGCACCGCCUUUGGUAAUAAUACUACUUCUUAAUUGUUUCCAACAUCUUUGAUUUUACUAAAGCUUGAUUGCUAAUGUUUCUCCUUAUAACUCCAAUGCAAGAAUGCUGCACCAACCACAACAGUCCGUCAGCCUGUAGAAGCAGCCACUAAUCCUUCAGAAUUCACAACUAAUGCUACUGGUAUUGAAAAUAUGGUUAGUGGAAAUGAAGGUGUAGAUUUAGCACAGGUAUUAUUUCUUGACAAAUGCAAACUGCAAUGAAAUGGACACCUACAUUUAAUCUGAUAAAAUGUGUGAAUCUUAUUUUUUUUAAUACGAAGGCUGGUACAAAAUCUACCUUGUCCACCCUUGAUGAACCUGCUGUUGUUCCUACUCCCAUCCAAGGAGCAGAACAUGUGCAAAAGGUAAUAUGCUUCAAAAUUUUAAGGUGCAGUUGAAUAGAUUCUUAGAAUUGUUAAGUGCUAAUUGCUCCUUCAAAUCUUUUGGUUCUUACAGAAUGUAGCAAACAAUGUAUUGUUGAGCAAACAGAACAAUAUCCAACCUACUAGUCGCCUCACUCGCAGCCAUGUCAACAAAUCACUUUUCACGGGUGAAAAAGAUAAAGAUAGUAAUGAGACAGUGACAUUUAUUUCAGCACAAACACUUAGGAAUACUGCUGCAAAUAAAAAGCAAAACUUUAGAAAGAAAUGAGGAAAGGUAUGAGCAAUGAGGUGUCAUUUUAAGUUGUUGUCCAUUUAUUAACAUAAACUUUGUUCACUUAUACAUGUAUGUUUGUUCACCUAACACGAGCAAUAAAGAGUUCAUGCCUUAUAUGUUUAUGCUUUGGCUUUAGUAUCCAUUCUAUUUGUUAAACCCAAAAAUAUUGUUGUCUAUCAUGUGUUGUUUUUGUUUGAUUGCAUCUAUGUGAUCAACUAUGUAUACUAAUGUAUGUCAUUUUACCUUUUUUAGGAAGAUCAACUUUGAGUCUUGCCAAGCUGAAAUGAAUCAAAUAUUGUGCAACAAGGAAGAUGACAUAUUUAUUUGUGCUAAGAGACAUGUUUUUUGUUGUUUAUGAUUGCUUAUUUGUAGCAUAAGUUAGUGGUUUGUAAUGCAGUUUAGCCUUGCAAUUACCUAUUUGGAAAUAGGAAGGCAUUAGACUUCCUUACAUUGUACAAACUAUUGAAUGCUUAUGAUCCAAGUUAUUAAUAUGAUUGACUUUUUGUGCCAUUGAAUUUUGUAAUUUUAUGAAUUUCUAUGCGAUGAAUUUGAUGCAAUAAUUGGUUGUCCUAAACUCAUGUCGAUGCAAUAGUUCGUAUUGCAUCCAACCUCAUGUCGAUGCAAUAGUUCGUAUUGCAUCCAACCUCAUAUCGAUGCAACAGUUCGAAUUGCAUUGAACAUAACGUCGAUGCAAUAGUUCAUAUUGCAUUGAACCAAAAUGGUGAUGCAAUAGAACUUCUUGCAUCGCAUCAAAAUGGUGAUGCAAUAGAUUAUAUAGCAUCGAACCUAAUAUGGAUGCAAUAUAGUCUAUUGCAUCGAACGAUAGUCGUUGCAAUAGAUGUAUUGCAUCAACAAGAUAUCGAUGCAAUAGUCUAUUGCAUCUCUCCAUUUUGAUGCAAUAGACAACGGAUGGACGAUGCAAUAGCUGCCUCUCGCAUCAACCACAAGUAACCGAUGCAAUAGGCAAUUGCAUCAAGACUUAUUGCAUCGGACAACAUCAAACGAGAAAUUGAUGCGACACCAAACUAUUGCAUCUAUUUUAGACCUAUAACAUCAAAAAUUGGCUGGUGCAAUAGGGUCAAAAUUUAGUAGUGGGACAGCGGAUCCCCCUAUCUGACCCCCAUUUACACUUGAAGGAUUUACUUGGUAUGCCAUUUAAGAGCACCGAGGAGCUUGCUGAGCUUAGAAGAUUUUCUAUCCAACUAACCCAUUGAAAGGAUCAAGAUGCCCAAGAGGGGGGUGAAUUGGGCUUCUCUAAAAAUUUAAGCAACCUAUAAGCUCUAAUUCAACCCCUUGUGCCUAAAGUGUUCUAGAGGGCUACCAGAUAAAAGUUUUGCAACCUAAUUUCAAUCCUAUUCUAGCAUGGCAAUUCUAGGAAUGUAAAUUCUCAAAGUAAAUGCUAGAAAGUAAAGGAGGAGAGCAAGAAGAACGCGGCGAUGUUUUGCCGAGGUAUCGGAGAGUCGCCACUCCCCACUUGUCCUUGUUGGAGCACCCGCACAAGGGUCUUGCUCCCCCUUGGUCCGUGCAAGGACCAAGUGCUCUCUACGGGCUGAUUCUUCGACACUCCAUCAUGGUGAAUCGCCCAAAAUCGCUCACAAGCUUGACACGAUCCACCCACAAGAACUCUCGGCGGUCUUCGUGCCUCCAAUCACCACCGAACCAUCUAGGUGAUGGCGAUCACCAAGAGUAACAAGCAAAGAACUCUCACUUGACCCAAACAAGGCUCUAGAGAGUUGUGGAUGCACACUUGAACUCUUGGAACUCAACUAGAGAACGAUUCACUCAAGAAACACUCAAUUCUCAAUCCUCUCUAGGCUCUUGCUUCUCUCUUGCACCACAAGGUGUUUCUCAGCCGAUCAAAUGGGCAAGAGACCUCCCAUGGACAAGGUGGAGGAGUAUAAAUACUCCCCAUCAAGUCCAAGGGUGGGCCACUAGAAUUCCACAGAAAACGGGAGCACCAGACACGCUUGAUGUUGCACCGGGCGCACUGCACUGAGCGUGCGGUGCCCCGUUAACGGCCAACUAUACUUCCUCUGACAACACACCGGAUGCACUCAUAGUUGGUCUGGUGCCAGCAUCCAGUGUGAGAGUGAUCUGCAACCCUCUCUGGGUACGGCACCGGACGCACCCCAGUGGGUCCGGUGCGUGCGUCCGGUGCCCGGUCGAUUUGCAGACCUCCCUGGGUAAGGGACCGGAUGCACCCCGGUGAGUCCGGCGCGUGUGUCCGGUGCCUAACCCUAGGCACCCAGGUACGCUGACCCAAGUCAGCACCACCUGACACACUCACAGAGCAUCCGGUGCAGCGUCCGGUGCCUGUUUAGGCACCCAAACUUUGUCAAAAUGUGAUCUUUCCAAAAUGAAGUUUAUUCCUCUCGAUCUAAGGACUUUCUCAGAGCUGCCUAGUGCUAGGUUUACCAAGUGUGCACCACACCUAAACCUAAAGCCUUGCCUAGGUCAAGCUACCCGCUCAAUGCCCCCCUUAAUAGUACGGUCAAAGGAAAAACAAAGUCCUAAACUACUCUGAGUGCCCUUCUUCACCAUAUGGCACUUAGACCUAGUCUACUCCCGACGAUGUCCAACCAUCCUUUGAAAAUUGAAACGAUUUCCACCAUUAAGUCGACAUGAGCGAUCUAGUCCAUUGAUCACCAUUACCAUGACCUAACAUAAAUGGCUUUGCCUCUGCAAAACACACAUUAGUCAUAGUAAUCAACAUUGUCAAUAAUCACUGAAACUCAUUAGGGGCCUAGAUGCUUUCAAUCUCCCCCUUUUUGGUGAUUGAUGACAAUAACCUCGAGUAUGUUUGAAGUGAGGUUUUGAAAUGACUUGGUUUCUAUAAGCAUGAGAUAGUAAGAUCAAAAAGGGAUUAGACAUGCUCAUAUCAACGAAGCCUCAUAUCCUACAUCCAAACAUGUGAAAUGUGUACAACAAGAUAUAACAACAUAUGGCUCAUAAGAUAUCAAAGUAAAAGCACGGAAGCAAAGCAAUAUGAGCCAUACACAUGACAUGAAUAUAUCAGCAUAAAGCAUAAGUCAUGUCUCAUAACCAUAGCAUAGUGUAUCUCACAAGCAAAGUAUCUCACAAAUGCAUGAAAUAAACAUGAUGCAUGAUAAGUAGCACACAAAAGAAUCAAAAGCCUACUCACUAGCUCCCCCUAACUCUAGCAUACUCUACUCUCUCCCCCUUUGGCAUCAAGCACUAAAAACCUAGCCAAAAACCUAAGAAGCUGAAGGCAGAAGUGGAGCAGAGGAGUCUCGUGGCACGGCCUCAAACUGAGUUGUGUCAUCAUCGGUGCCAUCUCCAGUGGACUCUAACGAAGCUGUCUGACCCUCUGAUGGUGCACGUGCUGGAGUAGCAGUCUGGGUCGUCUCUGUGGGCUCUGUAGCGGUCUGUGUCACUGCCAGAGUCUCAAGUCCUAUGGAAGAAGCUAGCACAGUCUCAGUAGCUAUUGCUAAAGUCUCUGGAACUAUGGAGGACGGUGCAAGCUGCUUAGACGAUGCCAUGGACGACGACAGACGCUCGGUAGUGGUAACUAGCAAGGUAAAAGCAGUAGGAGCCUGCUGAGUAGAUGGAGUGGGCAUGCCAGUUAGAGCACUAUACAACAAUGACAGAUCCUACUCCACUGAAGAAUCCAACACAAGCUGAGAAGCGGAGGCAGCUGUGGAGUGAACCCGGAGCGCAGAGGUGUGAACUGAGGGGUAUGCUCAAAGCCAGAAGAGAUAGCACCCUGAGAUACCUGGUGCUGUGGAGUAGUGAACGGCUGGCUAUGAGCAGGAAGCUGGAGCGGUGGCUAAGACUGACUCUGAAGCCCAUUGGGCUGUAAAACUGGAGUCAGUGGUCUAACAGUGGAUGUGCCUAGAAGCUGCACCAGUGGUAAAGUAAUCCCUAUCGCUGCCAUCAGAGUUGUCUGCUGGGCCUUGAAGGCUAACUGCUACUCCUGGAAGGAGAGUAGCUGUCUCUGAAGCUCGUCCUGCCUAGCCAACAUGGCUGCAUUAAUAGCAGUCUGCUCUCUAUCACAUCUAGCCUGCUCCUCAGCUGCCCUCUGCUAAUCGGCUCUCAUGCCCUCAAGUAUAGCAAGCAAAGCUAGGUCAGUGGCAGUAGAAGAACCUCCAGCCUCGUGGUCGUGCUGCAUCGGAGGAAGAUCUGGGAUGGGAAGCUGAUAAUCACCAUUAGAACAAUCAAAAGCAAAGUCAAACUCCCCCUCGACCUCUGCCUCUAUCACUGAGCCAAUAGCUAUGUCCUGCUCCUCCUCUAUCUCUGGAACUACCCCUGAACUAUGAGUGGCUUUGGGUGAAGCUGGUGGAGCUCUGCCAUGUGGUGCUAGAGGAGGUGCUGGAGCUCUAAGGUCCAUGUGAGUCCUCAUCAUCUGCUGUGGGUCGUAGUAUGGGAACACUGUCACUAUCUCUGUCAGCUCCCUCUAGAUGUGAGGUGGAAGGGGGUAUGUUCUAGCAUGAAGAAUCAGAAGAGUAAUCCAGUGUGCAUACGGCAGCUGACGACGGCCCCUGAAACCCUCAGCAAUAGUAUCCUCAAUCUAAGAGAUAAUCAAAUCCCAAAUAUCAUACUCCCUCUGAGCAACUAGAUGAGCAAUCAACCACUACUAAAUCCUAGUAAAACUGUCACGGUAGCCAGGCCUCGGAAGAAGGGUCUUCCUCAUCACAAAGUCUAUAAUCCGAGCGGGACGAGUGAGACCUCCAACUGAGCGGCUGGAACCCUCUGUGAAAGGCUGGUGGAAGCACGGUGAGAUGAAGUCCACUGGAGGGAGCUCACCACCGUGGGGUCGACGAGGAGGCUCAUAGCUGCCAUAGCAAAUCUCGUGGAUCUUGGUGUCGUAAGCUGUCAGACCCCAAGUCUCUCACGCACGCUGAGAUGUGACUCUGUAGUCAGUGCGUGCCAGUGCGUAGUGGAUGAAGCUGUGGUCUGGGGCAAUCUAGACUGAAGCGUUGAGCUCUCUCACCCACUCCUCCACAUAAGUGUCUGGCAGAGCUAGUAAUGCUGCAAGUCCUGAAAGGUAGCUCAGAUAGAGCCUAAUGUCUCGAGCAACGACGUUGCCCAGCACCUUAAUGUCCAGAACCCUCUACUCUCUGAACUGAGCCUGACUAUGGACAUACACCAUGUACAUAUCCUCUUGUACCACUAUGUAGAACCUGGCGUGUGCCCUCUGAUCCCUAGUAGCUGGAAAGCAAGAGGGGAACGGCAUGAACCUCAGCUCCUGGAUCUCACGAGUAGGUGCUCGAGUGUAGUCUUUGUGGAUCUAGGCUGGUGCAGGACGUGGAGCUAGGGUAGAAUGAGCUGGAGUGGAGCGAGCAGACGUAGAUGACUGACGCUGCGUACCAAACCUAGAAGCAGCCUAGGUACGAGCGCGAGUCGACCUACGGAGGGGCUGCUCCUCCAGCUGUGCCUCUGACUCUGCCUCUGCCUAUCCCUCUAUCUCUGUCUCCUCCUGUCUAGGCUCUCUGACAUCUAUCCUGACUGGAUGACCUCCUAGCAUGAUAGUGCCAGGUGGAGUCCCAUGCAGCUGCUCUACCAUGGUCGCCAACCUUCCUCUUCUUGGCUAGCACCUUCUUCCCCUUACCCUUUUCUGCAGCUAUGAAUCAGCGGGGAGCAUCGUCACCCCCAUUGCCUCCAGGAGUGCCACCAAUGCCACUAGUCAGACCAGUGACGUUCUUGCAACAUGCCAUUGCAAGAACACUCAAACACAAGCUGACAACUGACACUCGAGAGGCUUGACCUCAAUCCGUACUUGCGGGCUUGGCUCUGAGUUCAACUGUCACUGACCAACUACCAAACGAGACUCAUUGUUAGAGUAAAUAGGAAUAGUACCACAUUGUGUAUCCACAUAAGGUGUUAGUCCUAUAUACCCUAUAUAAUCAGCCCAUGAGGCCCAAUGCAAUAUAUCAAAUAUUCCACCAAUUAUAUUUUCCAACAUGGUAUCAUUCGCCUAGGUUUAGAUUCUAACCCUAGCCGCCGCCGCUUCCGCACUGCGCGCCCCCGGGGAGAGGUCGAUCUCCGCCGGGGGCAGCGCCCCUCUUUAGGCGCUUCUUCUCUAGUCUUACCGUCUGUAGCGCUCCCGCUGUGACUAUGGGGGGAUGUUAGAGUAAAUAGGAAUAGUACCACAUUGUGUAUCCUCAUAAGGUGUUAGUCCUAUGUACCCUAUAUAAUCAGCCCAUGAGGCCCAAUGCAAUAUAUCAAAUAUUCCACCAAUUAUAUUUUCCAACACUCAUGUGCUGCAAGAGAUGGAAUAGAUAGGGUGUAUAUAAGCAAACAUAAUAGCUAGAGGAGAGAAAGCCCUAAAGAUCGUAAGCAAUAGAUAAGAACAGACGAGAACGGCUUACAACCUGUGACGAGAUGCGUUCCGGAAGAUCAGAAGAAAUCCGAGAGACACAGAAUGCAAAGAUAUGCACACCAGGGUCCUGCAUAGGUGAAACAACGAGAGACAUUGUCAAAAACAAUAUUCGGAUCGGUUCGGGCAUUGAAUCGAGCAGGUGGUGUGCAUGGGUGAAGAAACUCACCCCAAACCCUUAAUCCACGUGAGAAGGAGCUCCUGCGUGUAGAGAAUGGAGGAGGAAAGCCACGGAGACGAUCUAGCACAGAGGAGAUCACAGAUUGCCAGAGAAAAUGCAAAGAACCACCGCGGUGGCGAGUUCUCAUUAGGGUUAGGUCAUUUAGGGUUUAGGCGAGCUCGUGACUGGGAGAAAAAAACACGGAGAGAGAAAGAUUUGGGGGACGGGUGAUAUACUGCCUUCACAGGGGCACCGGACCUGCUUAAGUUGGCACCAGACGCAUUUGGUGCCCACCAGACUCGUGCGCAGAGAGCUUUGUAGAUUGCGUGAGCACUGGACACAGGCCACCGGACGCUCGCCUAGCGUCCGGUGCUGCAAGUCACGCCUCAGGAGGUCACCGAACGCAACACAUCGGACGCGCUCAAGGCACUGUGCGCGGCUCCGGUGUGUGCUGUACAGGACAUACAGUACACCGGACGCACUGGGAGCGUGUCCGGUGCAACGUCUAGUGCACCUUUAGCUAGAAUUUCAACAAGAUCUUUCGCCCAACUUUCACCCAACCAAGUUCCAAUUUCAAGAAGACUCAAAUAAGCACUAAUUGGAACUGGUAUGAGUGACCUCUCUCAAACCCUCAAAUUUUCACAAAUAUUUAACCAGAGGCUUAGUAGUUUUUAUGAAAAUAAUCGAAUGGAAGCACCAAGGAGCUGGCCAAAAAUCUAGGGGUAUAAAACAAGAUGAGCUCUGAAUGCCCCCCUAUCAAUGUACGAACACAGCGGAUGCUCAAAGCAUAACAAAAAAAUGACAAGGCAACAAGCAUGCAUAUGAUAUGCAAUGCAAUGCAAUACUUGAGAGAAAACUAAUGCUUGUCAAGUUUGAUCCAAGGUUAAGCUUUUUCAUUCACACAUGGGGGUUAUCUUAACCAUGUUAGACAAGAAAUACUCACAAUCUUUUUGGAUUUUUAUUUUUGGUAUGCAUGAGAUGCAAAACAAAAGCUAUUUACAAGAACAACACACAACUUCAUUUUUUAGUGAAGUUAGAAAGAUCAAGCACAUUUAAUUAAUUUCUCAACAUAAAAAUCCUAGCUUCAUCUAUGAGUUUUGUGAAGAUAUCCACCAAUUGAUUUUCUGUCCCCACAUUCUCUAGGGAUAUGUCACCUUUAGCAACAUGAUCCCUAAGGAUGCGAUGACGGAUGUCAAUGUGCUUAGUGCGGGUGUGUUGAACCGGAUUGUUUGCAAGUUUUACGACACUUUCAUUGUCACACAACAAAGGUACUUUAUCUAGAACUACUCCAUAGUCUAGCAAAGUUUGUUUCAUGUAUAGUAUCUAUGCACAACAAGCAUCGGCAACAAUGUAUUCCGCCUCAGCCGUUGACAAAGCAACACUAUUUUGUUUUUGACAUCCAAAAGACAAGUGAUCUACCUAGGAAGUGGCACCCUCCGGAUGUGCUUUUUCUAUCAAUGCGGCACCCGGCGUAAUCCGAAUCGGAAUAGCCUAUAAGUUGGAAUCUUGCACCUUUGGGAUACCACAAGCCUAGAUAAGGUGUGUAUUUUAGGUACCUAAGAAUUCUCUUGACGGCAAUCAAGUGAGAUUCCAUAGGCAUAGCAUGAUAUCUAGCACACAUACACACACUAAACAUGAUAUGGGGCCUAGAUGCGGUGACGUAAAGUAAACUUCCUAUCAUGGAGCGAUAGAGAGUUUUGUCAACCAGGUUACCUCUCUCAUCCAAGUCGAGAUGCCCAUUUGAUGCCAUGGGAGUCUUGAUUGGCUUGCAAUCCAUCAUCUUGAACCUCUCAAGAAGAUCUUGAGUGUAUUCUCUUGAGAGAUGAAGACCCCUUCCUUCAUUUGCUUGACUUGAAACCCGAGGAAGAAGGAUAGCUCGCCAAUCAUGGACAUCUCAAACUCCUUGGACAUCAAAUCACCAAAUUCCAUGCAAAAAUCUUCAUUAGUGGAGCCAAAAAUAAUAUCAUCAACAUAAACUUGGCAAAUGAAGAUUUCCCCAUUCAUUUUCUUGGUGAAGAGUGUUGUGUCAACUUUCCCAAUCUUGAAGCCCUUCUCAAUGAGGAAGUCCCUAAGCCUCUCAUACCAAGCUCUAGGGGCUUGCUUGAAACCAUAGAGCACCUUGGACAACCGGUAGACAUGCUUGGGGUACCUACAGUCUUCAAAACUAGGGGGUUGCUCAACAUAGACAAGUUCAUUAAUGUAACCAUUUAAAAAGGCACUUUUCACAUCCAUUUGAA